AAGUAAAGCCUUUGGGAUGAUUUGCAUGAUGAGUAGAAUUGAUAUGGUGCAAAAACAAAAACUUUGACACCGAGUGAAGAAUUUAUAUGAUUUUACUGGACAUCAUUUUAAGCUUAUUUUUUCACACACUUCUGAUAUAAAAAUUCCCCAGGCCUUCCUAAUUUUUCAGAAUUGUUUGAGUCAUAGAAGUAUGACAAUUAAAUAUAUUACUAUAGACUGUUCUAUUUUAAACAGAUUCUGUUUUUUGCAUGCAUAGUUUGCUUGUAUUGAUUAUGCUAUGGAUUAUAUAGGGGGGUAUAAGCCAUGGAGAAGUUAGAAUAUAGUACCUUAGACUAAAGAAUAAUCAAUUUAUAACAGUACCUAAAAGUGUUUAUUAUGUUGCCUAUACUAACGGAUCUCACGAAGUUUUGUUGAGUUUUGUGUGAUUGAAGUUUUCAAGUUUUGGGUAUUAUCUCGAUGGACAAAGGAAUGAGAAGUGGAAAGAGCCUAAGCUUGGGGAUUGAUACGUCUCCAACGUAUCUAUAAUUUUUGAUGGUUUCAUGCUAUUAUCUUGUCAAACUUUGGAUGUUUUGCAUGCCUUUUAUAUAUGUUUUGGGACUAACUUAUUAACUCAGUGCCAAGUGCCAGUUCCUGUUUUUUCCAUGUUUUUGACCCCUUUCAGAGGAGAUUUUGAAAUGGAGUCGAAAUGGAAUAAAAUCCCUGAAAAGAUUUUUUCCGUAACGAAAGAAGAUCAGGAGACUUGAGAGCCAAGGCAGGGGGGCCCCAGGGGCCCCACAAGCCCUCACCCCGCGGUCAGGGGGGGAGGCCGCGGCCCACAGGCUUGUGGGCCCCCUGGACCUCCUUUGCACUAGGGUUUGCGCCUAUAUAUCCCCAAAAAUUCCACAAAAAAAAUCAGGAGAUCAUCGAAAGUACUUUUCCGCUGCCGCAAGCUUCUGUCUCCGCAAGAUCCCAUCUGGGGCACAUUUUGGUGCCCUGCCGGAGGGGGGAUUCGGACAUGGAGGGCUUCUUCAUCAACACCAUGACCUCUCCAAUGAUGCGUUAGUAGUUCACCAUAAACCUACGGGUCCAUAGCUAGCAACUAGAUGGCUUCUUCUCUCGCUUGGAUCUUCAAUACAAAGUUCUCCAUGAUCUUCAUGGAGAUCUAUCCGAUGUAAUCUUAUUUUGCGGUGUGUUUGUCGAGAUACGAUGAAUUGUGGAUUUAUGAUCAGAUUAUCUAUGAAUCUUAUUUGAGUUUCUUCUGAUCUCUCUUAUGCAUGAUUUCAUAUCCUUGUAACUCUCUUCGAGUUGUGGGUUUAGUCUGGCCAACUAGAUCUAUGAUUCUUGCAAUGGGAGAAGUGCUUGGUUUUGGGUUCAUACCGUGCAGUGACCUCACCCAGUGACAGAAGGGGUAGCGAGCCACGCAUCGUGUUGUUGCCAUCAAGGGUAAAAAGAUGGGGUUUUCAUCAUUGGUUUGAGAUUAUCCCUCUACAUCAUGUCAUCUUGCUUAAGGCGUUACUCUGUUCGUCAUGAACUCAAUACACUAGAUGCAUGCUGGAUAGCGGUCGAUGUGUGGAGUAAUAGUAGUAGAUGCAGAAAGUAUCGGUCUACUUGUCUCGGACGUGAUGCCUAUAUGUAUGAUCAUUGCCUUAGAUAUCAUCAUGACGUUGCGCGGUUCUAUCAAUUGCUCGACAGUAAUUUGUUCACUGAUUGCAAUCUCAGGCGAUGGCUAGACGAAUGCUGAUGACAACAAACCUUCCCUUGCAACAACACCAGAAGAAUGCUGCUAGCACUCCCCGGCAACGGAACUAGAAGAAUGUUGUUGAUGGCCCACGAGCACGUGGGUUUGCAGCAGUUUUCGAGGGUAGAGUAUUCGACCCAAAUUUGUUGGUUAGCCAGACAGGAGGUGAGAGAAUACUCUCGAGUAUUAGCAGCUGANNNNNNNNNNNNNNNNNNNNNNNNNNNNNNNNNNNNNNNNNNNNNNNNNNNNNNNNNNNNNNNNNNNNNNNNNNNNNNNNNNNNNNNNNNNNNNNNNNNNCUUUGCGAAUUACGAUGUAGCUUGCGCUAUAGCUCUACUGUUUUUUAUAUGAUCCUAGAGAAAAUUUAGUUGAAAAUUGAUAGUAGCAAACUUUGCAGACUGAGUCUGUAAAACCGAGGAUUGUCCUCGUUGCUACGCAGAAGGCUUAUGUCCUUAAUGCACCACUCGGUGUGCUGCACCUCGAGCGUCGUCUGUGGAUGCUAUGAACAUCCGACAUACAUGUUGCUGAUGACUACACAAUAGUUCAGUGCAAAAUACUUAAUGGCUUAGAAGCAAGGCGCCGAAAACGUUCUAAAACGUCACGGAACAUAAGUGAUGUUCUAAAGAGAUGAAAUUUUGAUUUCAUGCUUGUGCCCUUGUUAAGAGGUACGAGACCUCCAACAAGAUUCAUUGCCCACAAAAUAAAGGAGAAAAGCUCAAUCGUUGAGAGUGUGCUCAGAUUGUCUGAGUACGACAAAUCACUUGAAUCAAUUGGGAGUUAAUCUUCCAGAUGAGAUAGUGAUAGUUCUCCAAAGUCACUGCCACGAAGCUAUGAGAGCUUCGUGAUGAACUAUAACAUAUCAAGGAUACAUACAAUGAUCCUUGAGUGAUUCGCGAUGUUUGACACUACGAAAGUAGAAAUCAAGAAGGAGCAUCAAUAGUUGAUGGUUUGUAAAACCACUAAGUUUCAAGAAAGGCAAGGGCUAGAAGGGAUACUUCGUGAAACGGCAAAACAGUUGCUGCACUAAUGAAGAGACCCAAGAUAAAACCCAAACCCGAGACUAAGUGCUUCUGUAAUGAGGGGAACAGUAACUGAGGCGGAGCAACUCUAGAUACUUGGUAGAUAAGAAGGCUGGCAAAAGUCAAGAGAAGUAUAUUAGAUAUACAUGAUGUUGAUGUGUACUUUACUAGUACUCCUAGUAGCAUGAGGGUAUUGGAUACCGGUUCGGUUGCUAAGUGAUUGGUAACACGAAAUGAAAGCUACGGCAUAAACGGAGACUAGCUAAAGGCGAGGUGACGAUACGUGUUGGAAGUGUUUCCAAGGUUGAUAUGAUCAAACGUCGCACGCUCCCUCUACCAUCGGAAUUGGUGUUAAACCUAAAUAAUUGUUAUUUGGUGCUUGCGUUAAGCAAGAACAUGAUUGGAUCGUGUUUAUUGCAAUACGAUUAUUCAUUUAAAGAGAAUAAUGGUUACUCUAUUUUCUUGAAUAAUCACCUUCAAUGGUUUAUUGAAUCUCGAUCGUAGUGUUACACAUGUUCAUAAUAUUGGUGCCAAAAAGAUACGAGUUAAUGAUGAUAGUACCACUUACUUGUGGCACUGCCGCUUGAGUCAUGUUAGUAUAAAUUGCAUGAAGAGGCUCCAUACUGAUGGAUCUUUGUACUCACCUGAUUUCGAAUCACUAGUGACAUGCAAACCAUACCACAUGAGCAAGGCCUUGUUUUCAUUGAGAUGAAAUGAGAUAGUAACGUGUUGGAAGUGAUACAUUUUGAUGUAUGCAGUCCAAUGGGUACUGAGGCACGCAGUGGAUAUCAUUAUAUUCUUGCUUCACUGACGAUUUGAGUAGAUACAAGAGUAUUUACUUAAUGAAUCACAAGUCUGAAAUGUUGAAAAGUUCAAAUCCGUUUCAGAGUGAAGUUCGUCGUAACAAGAGGAUAAACUGUCUACGAUAUGAUCAUAGAAAUGAAUAUCUGAGUUACGAGUUUUGGUACGCAGUUAAGACAAUGUGGAAAUUGUUUCGCAGUUCAUGCCACCUGGAACAUCAUGGUGUGAUGAUGUGUCUGAACGUCAUAACCACGCACUAUUUGGUAUGGUGCAUACUAUGAUGUCUCUUAUCGAAUUACCACUAUCGUUUAUGGGUUAUGCAUUAGAGACAACCGCACUCACUUUAAAUAGGGCACCGCGUAUUUCCGUUGAGAUGACACAGUAUAGACUGAGGUUUAGAGAAAUCUAAACUGUCGUUUCUUGAAAGUUUGGGGUUUAGACACUUAUGUGAAAAAGUUUCAGUCUGAUAAGCUCGAACCCAAAGCGGAUAAAUGCAUCUUCAUAGGAUAUCCAAAACAGUUGGGUACAUCUCCUAUCUCAGAUCAAAAAGUAAAAUGUUUGUUUCUAGAAACGGAUCCUUUCUCGAGGAAAGGUUUCUCUCGAAAGAAUUGAGUGGGAGGGUGGUAGAACUUGAUGAGGUUACUGAACCAUCACUUCAACCAGUGUAGCAGGGCGCAGGAAGUUGUUCAUGUGGCGCCUACACCAAUUGAAGUGGAAGUUGAUGAUGAUGAUCAUUAAGCUUCGAAUCAAGUUACUACAAACCUCGUAAGUCGACAAGGUCGCGUACUGCUGCAGAGUAGUACGGUAACCCUGUCUUGGAGGUCAUGUUGUUGAGCAACAGUGAACCUACGAGUUAUAGAGAAAGCGAUGGUGGGCCCAGAUUCCGACAAAUGGCUGGAAGCCAUGAAAUCCGAGAGAGGAUCCAUGUGUGAAAACAAAGUGUAGACUUUGGUAGAACUACUUGAUGGUCAUAGGACUAUUGAGUAAAAAUGGAUCUUUAAAAGAAGACAGACGAUGAUGGUGAUAAGUCACUAUUAAGAAAAGCUCGACUUGUCGCAAAGAUGUUUUCGACAAGAUCAAACAGUUGACUAUGAUGAGACUUUCUCACUCGUAGCGAUGCUAAAGGUCUGUUAGAAUUAUGUUAGUUGUUGAUGCAUUAUUUAUGAAAUAUUGCACGUAGGAUGUCAAAACAUUGUUUUCUCGACGGUUUCCUUGAGCAAACAUUGUAUGUGAUACAACCAGAAGGUUUUGUCGAUCCUAAAGAUACUAGCAAGUAUGCAAGCUCCAGUGAUCCUUCAAUGGACUGGUGCAAGCAUCUCGGAGUUGGAAUAUACACUUUGAUGAGAUGAUCAAAGAUUUUGGGUUUGUACAAGGUUUAUGAGAAACUUGUAUUUCCAAAGAAGUGAGUGGGAGCACUAUAGAAUUUCUGAUAAGUAUAUGUGGUUGACAUAUUGUGGAUCAGAAGUAAUGUAGAAUUUCUGUAAAACAUACAAGGUUGUUUGAAAGGAGUUUUCAAAGGAAUACCUGGAUUGAGCUACUUGAACGUUGAGCAUCAAAGAUCUGUGGAGAUAGAUCGAAAGCGCUUAAUGGAAGUUUCAACAAGAUGCAUGCCUUGACAAGUUUUUGAAGGAGUUCAAAAUAGAUCAGCAAAGAAGGAGUUCUUGGUUGCGUUGUGAGGUGUGAAUUUGAGUAAGACUCAAAACCCGACCCCGGCAGAAUAAAGAGAAUAGACGAAGGUCGUCUUCUAUGCCUUAGCCGUAGAAUCUAAAGUAUGCCAUGCUGUGUACCGCACCGGAUGUGUGCCUUGACUCAAAGUAUGUUGAGAGGUACAAAGAGUGAUCCAUGAUUGAAUCACUAGCAGCGGUCGAAAUUUAUCCUUAGUAACUAAUGGACUAAGGAAUUUUUCUCGAUUAUGGAGGUGGUUAAAGAGUUUGUCGUAAAGGGUUACGUCAAUGCAAGCUUUGACACUAAUCCGAAUAACUAUGAGUAGUGAAACGGAUUCGUAUAGUAGAGUAGAUAUUUGGAGCAUUUCCGAAUAGCACGUAGUAGCAGCAUCUAUAAGAUGACAUAAAGAUUUGUAAAGAAAGCACGGAUCUGAAAGUUUCAGAACCAUUGACUAGAACCUCUCUCACGAGCAAGACGUGAUCAGACCCCAUAACUAUAUGGGUGUUGGAUUCGUUGGAAUCACAUGGUGAUGUGAACUAGAUUAUUGACUCUAGUGCAAGUGGGAGACUGUUGGAAAUAUGCCCUAGAGGCAAUAAUAAAUUAGUUAAUAUUAUAUUUCUUAGUUCAUGAUAAUCGUUUAUUAUCCAUGCUAUAAUUGUAUUGAUUGGAAACACAAUACUUGUGUGGAUACAUAGACAAAACACUGUCCCUAGUAAGCCUCUAGUUGACUAGCUCGUUGAUCAAAGAUGGCCAAGGUUUCCUGGCCAUAAGCAAGUGUUGUUACUUGAUAACGGGAUCACAUCAUUAGGAGAAUCAUGUGAUGGACUAGACCCAAACUAAUAGACGUAGCAUGUUGAUCGUGUCAUUUUGUUGCUACUGUUUUCUGCGUGUCAAGUAUUUUGGGUGACUAUAAAGAUGCUCUACAGGUAUCUUCGAAGGUGUUAGUUGAGUUAGUAUGGAUCAAGACUGGGAUUUGUCACUCCGUGUGACGGAGAGGUAUCUCGGGGCCCACUCGGUAAUACAACAUCACACACAAGCCUUGCAAGCAAUGUAACUUAGUGUAAGUUGCGGGAUCUUGUAUUACGGAACGAGUAAAGAGACUUGCCGGUAAACGAGAUUGAAAUAGGUAUGCGGAUACUGACGAUCGAAUCUCGAGCAAGUAACAUACCGAAGGACAAAGGGAAUGACAUACGGGAUUAUACGAAUCCUUGGCACUGAGGUUCAAACGAUAAGAUCUUCGUAGAAUAUGUAGGAUCCAAUAUGGGCAUCCAGGUCCCGCUAUUGGAUAUUGACCGAGGAGUCUCUCGGGUCAUGUCUACAUAGUUCUCGAACCCGCAGGGUCUGCACACUUAAGGUUCGACGUUGUUUUAUGCGUAUUUGAGUUAUAUGGUUGGUUACCGAAUGUUGUUCGGAGUCCCGGAUGAGAUCACGGACGUCACGAGGGUUUCCGGAAUGGUCCGGAAACGAAGAUUGAUAUAUAGGAUGACCUCAUUUGAUUACCGGAAGGUUUUCGGAGUUACCGGGAAUGUACUGGGGAUGACGAAUGGGUUCCGGGAGUUCACCGGGGGGGCAACCCACCCCGGGGAAGCCCAUAGGCCUUGGGGGAGACACACCAGCCCUUAGUGGGCUGGUGGGACAGCCCACAAGUGCCCUAUGCGCCAAGGAGAAGAAAAUCAAGAGAGAAAGAAAAAAAAAGGAGGAGGUGGGAAGGAAGGGGGACUCCCUCCCACCAAACCUAGUCCAACUCGGUUUGGGGGGGAGAGUCCUCCCCCUUGGACUCGGCCGACCCCCUUGGGGCUCCUUGAGACCCAAGGCAAGGCCCCCUCCCUCCCACCUAUAUAUACGGAGGUUUUAGGGCUGAUUUGAGACGAUUUUUCCACGGCAGCCCGACCACAUACCUCCACGGUUUUUCCUCUAGAUCGCGUUUCUGCGGAGCUCGGGCGGAGCCCUGCUGAGACAAGGUCAUCACCAACCUCCGGAGCGCCGUCACGCUGCCGGAGAACUCUUCUACCUCUUCGUCUCUCUUGCUGGAUCAAGAAGGCCGAGAUCAUCGUCGAGCUGUACGUGUGCUGAACGCGGAGGUGCCGUCUGUUCGGUACUAGAUCGUGGGACUGAUCGCGGGAUUGUUCGCGGGGCGGAUCGAGGGACGUGAGGACGUUCCACUACAUCAACCGCGUUCUCUAACGCUUCUGCUGUACGGUCUACAAGGGUACGUAGAUCACUCAUCCCCUCUCGUAGAUGGACAUCACCAUGAUAGGUCUUCGUGCGCGUAGGAAAUUUUUUGUUUCCCAUGCGACGUUCCCCAACACUCGUGUGGCGGCAGCAGCUUGGCGUGUUUCGGGCGUGUAGUCCUCAUCAUACCGGUGCCAGCAGUCAAUGACUUCGUGGCCCGGUUUCUUGCAAAGUUGGCACCUUGGUCGGCGAUUGUUGUUGUAGCCGCCGCCGUUGUAGCUACCGCUGCGAUCACCGCCGUCGCGGUCACCACCACUACCAGGGCGAGUCUGGCCCUGGUGUCCGGCGCGUCCUCCACCGCCGCUUCCGCGUCCGCGCCCUUGCUGUCCACGCCCACGGCCACGUCCGCGGGAGGCGGCGUUGACAGAAGAUUGACGUAGAUUGGAUCCCUGCAGCAUACUGAGCCGGGCGUCGAAGCUCAGAAGCUGGCUAUAGAUCUCCUGGACCGUGACCGAUUCGACCCGUGCGGCCAAGGCGGAGAUCACGGGAUUGUAGUCGAUGUCGAGGCCGGCGAUGACGUGAGAGAUGAUCUCAGCAUCUCCGAGCGGUGCACCGGCGCAGGCAACUUCAUCGGUGAGGGUUUUGAUCUUUCCAAGAUAUUCUGCCAUGGUUAGAUUACCUUUUUGCAGAUUGGUGAGGGCCAUCCUGGUGUUGAUCUUUUGGGCUUGUGUUUGUGCAGCAAACAUGGCGUGGAUGGAAGUCCAUACCUCGGCCGGCGUCUGAAGCAUCGCCACUUGCGCGAGAACCUCUCGAGAGAAAGAUCCCAUGAGGUAUCCUUGUACCUGCUGUUGCUGCGCAUACCAGAUUGAUCUGGCGUAGUUGAAGACCUGCUCUUCCUUCCCAUCCUUGGUGAUGGAGAUGGUGGCGGGAGGCGCCGGGCUUGCGGCGUCGAGGAAGUGUUCCAUCUGUGCUUCCUUGAUCUGGGGUAGCACGACGGCCUUCCAAAGAAGAAAGUUCGUCCUGGUGAGCUUCUCUGAUGGAGGUGGACCGAGAGAGAGCGAGGUGUUGGAGGAGGAUGAGGGCGCGGCGGAUGUGAUUUGGGUGGAUGCAAUGGUGGGGAGCGCGGGGUCUGUCAUCGUCGACUCUCUCUACGACCAAUGGAGCAAUUUCUCUUCUCGGUAGCUAGGCGUCGAGAGGAAGGGCUCUGAUGACCAUGUGAUGAAGCGUAGAACCCUUUGUCUUGGGCCGCAAUGUAUUUAUAUCACAAAUAUCUUGGAGUACAAGGCAAGAUCUAUCAAGAGGUUACAUGGGAUAAGGGAGAUCGGAGAGAAGAUAGAAUCGGUUUAAGAUACAUCAACUAACAACCGUAUCCUAUACAAUGUGUCUAACAGUGUCGUGCGACUAUCGCUCCCCUCCCUGACCACCAGCGAUUCACCCCACACCGACGAUAGGGCACCGCUCCACAGACGAUUUUAUGACGAGAUUUGGACGGCGCAACGGAUUUGGGCGAGGAACCGUCAGUGACACCGGACAAGUGUCGUUGGUUCGGAAGAGAGGAACUAGAAUAUGCGAUGACGGUCCCAAUGCUACACCGCACGUUAUGAACACGCCUUGCGUUGCUGCCGACCAGGUGCCAUCGAACGGACUGGUACGAUGUCCGCACCCGACUGAAAAAAAAUGAGGCCGCACUUAUUAAAAUUCGAUGGAAAAGAACACCGGUGCCGCCGCGGACCAGAAAUUAGUGAAUAGUGCGUCUUCACACCGUGCUUUUCAUCUCGAUUCUCCAACGGUCCAACGCCAAACGCGGCGGCCGCCGAGAUCCUCGCCGUCGCGGCCGGUGAGAUCCGGGGUAGUUCGGGAUGGAGCCUGCAGGCGAGCGGUGCGGAGCCCUCGCGAUUGGUGGGGCGGAUGGGCAGAUCUCACGACGCCGCCGCCGUGCCGGCGCUCCUCGUCUCCCGCUUCGACGCCGACAAGGCCGCCGUCGUGCCGCCUCGCCCUCAUCGCGCAGGGCGCCGACGUCGCCAUAUCCUCCCAUUGCAUUCGUGCGUGCAUGCGGCGCAUGUUGUCAAGAGCGUGGCGGCGAUCUCAUCCCGCCCCUUCCGGCGGGUUCGGUUCGGUUUGCGCCUCCUCCCUCGUUCCAUCUCACUCCUCGGACCCCUGACGGGAUUUCGAAUUUUCGAUUUGGUAUAUAUGUAUUGCAUUGGAUAUUAAUAUUUGACUUAUCUGUAUAAAAAAUGCAGCACCGUUUGAAUAAUGGCCCCGGUGUUCAUCAGGAAGUAUUUUGCAGCUCAUAGCCUCAUAGGGGAAAAUGUCUAGCAGAUUUAACUGUGUACACACCGGAAUUCUGAAACUAAGGUACGCUUUCUCCAUAAACAUUAUGUCUAUCAGAUCUUCAGUGCUAGAUAUUUAAAUGCUCGUGUUGCUAUCCGCUGAGAAGUUGGUUUGGAAGUUGUCAAACUGAGAAUUCACAACCCCCCACCCCCCUAACCAUUGUUUGAUCAUACAAUUUUGCAUUCCAAUCGUAAUUAAUGCGCCCAGAUGUGAUGAGUACUGAUAAAUAUCAGGAUCUAUGGUUUAUCUCUUGCUGGUGCUGCUGCAAGGGUUUUGAAGACCAAUGGACACAUUGCGCCGCUUUUCCCUCGAAAUCUAAUACUACAGAUUGUUGAAUUCUUGAAUACCCAAGUUAGGCCCCCUUCUGCACGUAGCUCUAGCUCUUAAUUAUCAACAUCGGGGAAAUGGUUGUCUAUGCUUGUUUUAUUUUUUUGAUCUCUCCCAUCUUUGGAGACAAACUGCAUGCUUCAUUAGAGCAGUAGAGCUACAUGCAGUUGAGGUAGUGGGAAAAGCCACCAACAUGUAAUAAGCAACCCAGAUCUUGGUUCAUGAUGAUUGAUAUAUAUGAAUAUGAGUAGGACGAGAUUCAUGUAAUCCGGCAUUGGCUAUUCGGGUCGAGCAACCAAAGAUGGACGGCUAGCUUGGAGCUUCAGUGGCUCGUGAAUUACAGCAUUCAAUGCUCCAACAAUUUCCCUUGGUGAGGUGAAUUCAUCACUACGGAAGUAGAACAAGUGGCUUGUCUUGCAAAACCUCCAGAACAUUUCCCUGCAUGGCCUAGGAACUACACUGUCUUCUCUAAGAACCGAUCUUAGCAGGUCUCUUGUACAUGAAACCAUAGAAUUAUGUAUCUCCUGUUCAGCCGCUUCUAUGGACAUAGAACCACCACUGUGAAGAGCAAGCAGUACAACACAAUUCAGGUUACCAUCUCUGCCGUCCCUCUGCAUGCAGCACAACAUCAUUUCAUUUGUCAGAAAUUAACCAUUUACGAGGUUAGAUUUUGUAUCCUCAUUACUAGGGAUACUUUUCUUUUCAGAAAUGGAAUUAAUCAAUUACCUCAGAGGUUCUGUUAUCGUUCAUGAAACGGCCACACCUGCUCACUAGCCUAAGCAACUCGUUGUAAUCUUGACUUUUGGCGACAUGCUCUGAGAGUUUCUCUCCAAUAAAAUACUGUGAUGUGAGGAUAAUUGGGCCUAGUGCGAAUGUGACAGCUGCAGGUGUCAUGUAUUCUUCAACUGUUGGAGCAUGUUGGCUCCUCCUCCACUCUGCCUCGGUCAUCUCAGACCUUAGUAAGUGUAGCCACUACAAAAGAGUAUCAGCUGCCUGUCAAUACUGAACGCUGCAAUUCAUAAUAGUGUAUCACACAUGCGUGAACUUACUUGUUCAACCAGGUGCUUUGUAACAUCACAGUUUUGUACUAUAGAUGCCAUUGAUCCAAGCUGAUUCACUGUUCUAUAGAGAGCAAAAAAUGCAAUUUUUACUCGCUCAGAAAAGAAUUCCUCAUCUUUGUGAGGCUCAUCCCACCUAAGAAAAUCAUUGUCGAGAAAGGGAGGAUGAUGGAUUAUUAAUUGGCAAUGCAUAAGACAGUACCACUACUUCAGAAAGUGAUCAAAGGCCAAAAUAUCAAGAUAAUGGAUUUACCUCUCAACUAAUCCUAUGAGGCUCUCCAGUUCUCCUUUUGAUCCAGCAACAUCAAACAAGUCAUCAAAAAUAAUUGUGAGAAAAAUAGUUUUGGCACACGCAACACGAGCAACAGAAAGUUCAUGUGGUGAUAUGGCGGCAACAGCAGAGAGAUAGCUAGUCGUCAGUAUCUUCCGUACAUAUUGUAGUUGGUCCAGCUUGUUCUCUUUCGCCCAACUGUUGCAAUAAAAUUUGUAAUAAGUUUUUAACAAGACAAGUAAGCAAGCAAUAGCCAUUGCCAUAUUACCUUUCAAGGUGAUGAAGUUCUUCCUGGUAAAUAGAUUGUGAAAUACGGAAAUCGUCAAUUGCCAGAGCUAGAAGAUCUUGAUUGACGCGAUGUGGCCUGAUUCUCAAAAUGGUUGAAUUUUUCUCUAGCAUGUUUAUUAAAAUGAUUUCAAAGACUAUUUUACUUACAAAUGAAGACUUACAAGUUUUUCCUCUUCAGCAUCCGAGGAACCCUGGUAUCGAGAUUCUGAAUGUUCCUCUUGUGUUCUACUGGUUCCACGGUGGCAUAAAAGGGAAAUUUAAGAGCAUGCUCGACCUGAAAUUACCAAAAGCACAUAAUUUAACUUCAACAUAAUUGUCCACUGGAAUAGCUGUGUGUAUCCUUAGUUAGCAAAGAACCAACUAAUAAAGCUGCCAUUAAUUUACACUUAAAAGCACCUCUUCAGAGAGCGAUAUACUUUGCAUCCCAUCAGAGCACAAGUUUUUGGUCAAUAAUUUCCUCGGCCAGUAACCUAGGAUCAGUUCAUCUUCUGAGAAGUUAACUUCGGAAGCUUUGUAAAGCUCCAAUAUACAUUUGGUAUCAUGUAAAUAUCCUUGAAGUGAGCUACUGAAAGUGGAGGCUUUAGCAACAUGUGACAACUCAUCUGCAUCGGAUUAUAAUAAUCAGUUAAAUCAAGAUAAAAUAUAAAAUAAUAUAGCAGGGAUUCAACGAAGUACCUGAGGAAACAUCAUAUCCGUUCAUCUGUAAAAGGCGAAACGCCAUUGCACAUGUUUCCAAAUCCAACCUGAUUUCCUCGUCUCUUUGUAACCAGUAACUGCAAAGAUGACACAAUAAGAUCUACAAGCUAUUCAAAAUAGACAUCAAAUCCUCACUCAUGGCCGUUACCUGUAUGUCAUGUCGAGGAUGUCCUUUAUCUCUGUUGAAAAGUAUCGAGAUAUUCCAAUUUUUUCGAGUGUAUCCACAAUUGAUAGCUGACAAUGUAUAUUUUGUGGGUACAUUGUUGGUACUGCAAAGUUACAGUGGCACAUUAAGCAUUUCGCUAGAGUCUACACCCCUAAGGUGCUUCAUAACGGCAGGUAGAUGUACUCACCUGCACUACUACCAAAUUUAGUGACAAGCAAAUUUAGGUACUGGAGGGCUUUCUCAUCGUAGUUGUGAACAAGGAUAGCAGCAGUUGUGGAAGGAGAAUUGAAAAAUGAUCCAUUAUUUCUCUGGAAUUUCAUAACUUCAUUCCAGUCCACCAAGUUUCCCAACCCUUCAGCAACAAAAGCCAUAUAUGCUUCUUUUCCAUAAGAUUUAUCCUUCGCAAGCCUGUAUAAAAUGAACACAAGGACUUCUAAUAAAGCGCUGUAAAAGUCAACCUAUCUUAAUUGGUACUAGGAAAGAAGCAGUAUGUAUGACAGUAUGAGACGACAACUCUUUCCUUCAAACUAUUUUUAUAUAAAGAAUAUUCUGAAAGUGAAGCUGCCUCUUAGCAUUUUUUGGAAUAUAAGAGACGUAGCAGACAAAUUUCAUAUUCACAUAACCGGUUCACUUGUGCUUUGCAAAGAGAUGCCCCUAAAGUACAAAUGGGGGGAAACAAAUUACAUUAUUUUUAAACCUGCAAUUGUUGGGGAAAAUCCCCACAUGAGGUAACUUUAGAAUGGUUACCAAACAAGUUUAAAUAAUUCAUAAACACAAUGUUGAUGCUUGAAUUGUCAUUGACAAACCUUUCCAUUUCCAUUUCCUUGCGGCGAAGAAUCCCACGGACACUACUUUCUGUAACUGAAAAUUCCAAACCCAUCUCAAUGGCAAGUUGAACCAUACCAGGAAAUAUGAUAUUGAAGCCAGUAGGAGCGUCAAUUUUCUCAUCGAUAACAGUUGAGAAAUUUCUUCCAAUAAAAUUUAGUCCUGCCCAGGGUCAUUUUCAUCUCAUCAAGACCUUGCAGUUCUGGAAAAUAAAAGAGAGUAAACAAUACUCCAUGAGUAAAGGCAUCCCUAGUUUGUACCUCUAGUUAUGUGCUCCGGGCCAACUUUCCAUUUCUUAAGUGCGAUAACACAUGCCAAUGUAGAUAACAUAACAUUCUUGUCGGCUGAUAAGUCAUAUUCAGUGAUACCCCAAGAUCCAUCGCCAUGCUGGUUUUGCAAUAUCCAUUCAACGCAUUGAGGGAAGUAUGGCGUCUUAAGAUGACCCGCCAAUGGCACCAUAGCCACCCAUGCCGUGUCAUAUGAAGAUGGCAAAAAUUCAGGCUUCUGAAGCUGCUUCUUGAUCCUAGUCGCACGUUCCUAUUUCAUAUUUAAUUUAUUAUUGAGAGAAGAGUAUCAUGACAGGAGCCUUAAAUCAUUCAACCUGGCAAAAUAUGGAGGGUUCAUACCACAUUUGUCGAUCUUGAAUUUGUUUGUCCUUCCAGCCUCGUUUCAACAUAUGCUGUUCGAUGACUGAAAUCAAUUAGCACAUCAGUUGUGUGAAAACUAUAGAUGAUGUAAUUCUGAGGCACAUCAGUUAUGUGAACACUAUAGAUGAUGUAACUCCAGGGCACACAACAAAUAUCAAAUCAGUUAACUAUCGUCCUUUCGUCCAGCUCCAGCUGCGUGAAAGAGAUGAAGAGGUGUGCUUCUGUACACUGUCCUAAAAAAGAUAUUGCCGACUUUGAUACGAAUUAUGCUACACGUAAUAAUCUCACCCCCUUUAACUAGGUUACAUAGUCCAGGAGAAAAAAGGCAUCCAAGCUAGUUCGUGCUCUGCGCGUGAUAAAACUGGACGCCUUUCAGUAAGAGCUAAUUGUCGGUAGAGAGCUAACUGUUUCUUGGUCAUCAUCGUCUUCCUAACCGUAAUCUUAGGGACAGCGAAGGAGACAUCAUGAAUCUCAUGUUCCGUAAAAUGAAAAUCCUCAAAUCUCUUGAUUCUUUCGAGAUCAAAUGCGGCAUAAUACUCCUGACACCACUAACACAAGUCGUAUAGGAUAAAAUGUGCUUCAUCCAUCUGUCCUAUGUAAAUUGUAAAGUAGAUAUCCCAAAACAUUGAAGUUCCCAAGAACAGAAAGGACAUGCAUAUCCUACAUAACACAAGUCAUACAAUGAAACCCAUCCAAGCAAAUUAAAGCUGGGUCUGCUUACCGCUGCAAGAAGAAAUCCUCUGAGUCCUCACACAAGCCCAGUGGAGGAGAGGAGUAGGACAGAAGAACUCACGGCAGCGUGCUUGCGUGGAAAGAAGCCUGGAGGCGUGCACAGCCAUAGCGCCUUUGCUGAAGCUCAGGCGAAGAGGGGCUUUUCGCUGAUGGUUCCAGCAGGACUUCCGCACCGGCAGUGCCGUCCCUGGGAGGACGGAGCUGCACCCAGUUACCUUUGUCGUCGACAUGGGAAAGAAUACCGGAAGAGAGACGCGGAUGAUUGUGCUGUUAGUUAUUGCACCUAUCUAUCACAUAUUCACAUCACACGCCACAUGCCACAAUUUUUUUUCUUCGAAAACGAGGGUUUCCUCCGGCCACAUGCCACACGCCACAUGCAGUUCUAUACUGACAUUACAGAACACCACUCAUAACUUCCAAGCAUCUUUUAAUUGUUCUCAAAUUGCUUGUGGGCAAGUUGCUUGGCUGUCGUCGAGUCAAGUCUUGAGAAAUGCUAGUUUUUGGUUGUUGCUGUUUGGUAGUAUUAUUAGAGCAACUCUAGCGGAUCCUCUAACUGGCAUCUAGCCAUACUCCUAAACCGGUUAGAGGAGUAAAAAACUUGCUCUUCCGUCCGAUUCUUUUUCGCUCCAAAGACACCCGCCGCGGCUCAGCCUGGGACUGCCACCGCUCUAGCCACCACGGGCUGCCACUCGCCGGAAACCACGCCGGUGUACGACAUGUGCUUCAGCCGCAGAUAUAGCACUUGAGGUGCGUGUUCAACGCAUGCGGUCGAGAUGAACUAUGUCAAUGCAUACACAGACAAGAAAAAGCCAGGCGUGAGCUCGCUAGCAGGCGAUGACCAUGGCUGUCUAAAUACGCCCUGAAUACACCAUGCGCACGCUUUUCAGUAGGGACAUGGAUUCACGAGCAACGUCAGCUCCAGCACCAGCACAUCGGCGGACGCCUGAGGACGCCGGCGUCAACCUCGGUUAGUGCAGGCGGAGGUACGAUGUCCGAUGUGCUCACCAGUGUUGCUGGUGUUGUCAGUUGUCCCCAUUCGUCGUGGAGACGCAUAUGUUUGAAAAAACUUGCAUAAGCCAAAAGUAAGUUAUACUCUGUUAAGUUUAGAGGAUUGGCUAGAAAUGAUCGAAACUUAAUGGAAUAAAUUUACUUCACUAAGGCUAACCCGACGGUUUACUCCUUUAUUUUUAAGAGGAUCGGCUAGAGUUGCUAUUCUGUCCCUUGUCUAGCCUUAUCAUUCUACUACCUAUGUAAACUUAAUAGGUCUUACGGAACGUCUUAAUUAUAAGCAUCUUGUGACCUAGAACGUCUUAUAAAAGUUUACAGUGGGAGCACCAUUUAUAAACUUUUAAGCAUCUUAUGCUUUACGACAAAGACAUGUAGUUUAGUCUUAAUCAAGACAUACAUGGAGUCUUCUCAACUCUUUGGUUUGUCUGUCUCUGUGUAUAGAUGGUUGAGGAUGUCUAUACCACUUUCAACUACUACUACGUACUAUUCUAGUUUAGUACCUGACCAACUACAAGUUAAUUAGGUUGGUCGCAUAUGCCAAGACCAGACGAAAUUGGAUCUUCAUCACUCUCCAUAAUGAAGCCUCUUGGCAUCAGCUCCCAACUCUGCCUACAGACUGAAAUUAUAGACUAGUGCCUCCCGUACAGGCACUAUUAUUAAACACUUAGGCCCCGUUUGGCAUCGGUGUAUUUUUAUACACCUGUAAAUAUUUUACAGGGGUAUUAUAUAGGUCUUAGUUGAUUUUCGUCUGUAAAAAAGCGAUGGAUUUAGGUCUGUAUAAUUUUUACAGGUGUAUGGCGCUGUGAAACGCCAAUCCAAUCGGGGCCUUAGGCCCGGAUCGGAGUCCCUCCACUCUGCGGCUCUGCUCCCGGAGCGAACGGAGCUGUAGUUAAAAUUCGCGUAGCGGCUGCACAAAUGCUCUGUAGAUUCUUAAAUUUUAAGGAGCUGGUGGAUUACCAAACGAGUCCUUAUUACGGACACCCGCAAAACAAAAACACUUAUUAAGAACAAAAUGCUUGAUUCAUUACGAUGUAUGCGCAUUGGAUCCUUUGUGAUGCCAAAGGAUCAUGUGUUAGGUAUUGAGAUUAAGUAGACUUUGUGCAUUAGAUAUGAAGUUUUAAUUACUAGAUAGUAGAGCAAGUAUCAGCAAAUGAGUGCACUAUUUAUUUAAGUGGACAAUUUUUAUGUUAAGACAAGUUAAACAUAUCUAUCACAUGCCUAUUGAUAUUACACCACUCAAAACUUCCAAGCAUCUUUGCUUGGUUGUCGUGUCAAGUCAUGAGAAACAUUAUUAGGUGUUGCCGCUAAUUGGUAUUAUGUGCACUAGCUACACAUGUCCCUUGUCUAGCUUUACCAUUCUGCCAUAUUUAAAAGAGUUAUUAAAUGCAGAAAACCACCACAUUGAAGGACGAGUAUGCAGAAAGAACCACUUUACGAUGUUUUGGCAAGAAACAUUAUGUCUACGGGUAAUGACCUAGCAAGUGACAUUAAUCAUGCUUUUAGAUCGGUUGAUAACUUUUUGACAUAUAGGGGUUGCUGGACAGGCUCGCGUUGCAUAAAAAUUGCAAUUUUGACGCUUUGACGUUUGAAUUGUCUCUCUCUCUCUCUCUCUCUCUCUCUCUCUCUCUCUCUCUCCCCGGUGGGAUCCAUGACACACCACACCUUCUUCAUUGGCUCGCAGGGUGGAGCUCGAACAUGGGGACGAUUCCGCACGAGAAGUUGUCGCCAUCCCCACCAGAGACGAGGGCAUGGUCAUCGACUCGUGCAUUGGCCACCGUGGGGAAGCAACUCAAUUUGGGAUGCUUGGUGGUGGCGGAGAGGAACGACACACCACAUCCACUGAUGCCAGUCAAGGCUCCGUCAAGCCCCAUUACACCCGACAUGACGGAUGGUCCUCGAAAGCCACCACCGCGCCCUCUCUCGAUCUAGUGGGCUGCAGUGGAUGAGCCCAGCCAUGGCCCCGUCUAGCCCCUCUUACAUGCCCGAGAUCUUGAGGCCCUCGGUUGUCGUUCGAAACCUACACCUCCACCCAGUGUCGAUGGCGUGGGGGUACUUUCCAAUCAUAAAUUAGGAAGGGAAGUUGAGGGGGUGACUGGUGGAGGCGACUGGGUGAGAUGGCCACCGAGGCCGCUGGUGGGCACUGGCUGCGGCAGAGGCUGGCACCGAGGGAGUCGAGGGCGGCGUCGACUUGAACAGGGAUCGGGUGGGGGGNNNNNNNNNNNNNNNNUGUUAGAAGGGGGGGGGGGGGGGGGGGGGGGGUCACUAGAGAAGACAAAUCAAAGUGCCCAAGUGGCAUUUUUUUGCCAAGUCAGCUCUUCACGAGCAGGACCAAGAUGUCAUAAACGUGCUCAAAGCGCUCUAAUUCGCAGAUUAGUGGUUUACACAAAAAACGUAGACAUGGUGUUUUCUUUUUCUCCAAAAAAAUCGUAGAAAUGUUCCUUCUGCAAACCCUCCUUCAGUGUGGAGGUUUCUACGUUUAACUCCCAUUUAAAAAUUUGUAAUACCGCGUUUGGAUGUCUCCAUUGGAGAGCUCCGUAUUGAAUUGGUCUAAAUUCCAAAUCAGUGGAGGGAACUGAAAUGGCAGGAAUACAAAUUCACCUGUUUGGUUGUCCCAUGAAUUGGCCCUUGAAAUGCCUCUGAGAUUUCAAUUCCAGAUCAUGUUUGGAUGACAAACUUUGGAAUUUGACAAGAAGAUCCAGGCUAUGACAAACUUUGGAAUUUGACAAGAAGAUUCGGAGGGCGGAGGGCGUGCCGGGCCUGUGACGUCGGUCGGAGGGAGGAGCCGACGGCGGGGUGUGUCAGUCUUGGUCCGUCGCCGAACACCAUGGCGGGGUGUGGUAGAGGGCGAACAAGGGCAAGGGAACCGAUGGGAGAAGAGUCAGGGAAGAAGGGAGCGGUCGCCGCCGGUCGCCGUGGUGGUCGCCGCGGCCACCUGGCUACUAGGUCUCGCCGCCGCCUCCUCCCUGUCGCUGCUAGGUCUCGCAUCCCGUCACUUCUUUUUCUUUUUCUGUUCGGGCCCCAACCUGUAUGUUUUGCGGGAGAGACGAUUUCGGGCCAAUUCGGAGCGCUACCCCUCCGAAACAUGGGAGGAAGAUUUUCACGGGAGCCAAAACGGACCUGAAUUGCAUUUUCGUUUCCAAUACGAAUUCAGUGUGCAGCCAAACGUCCGUUUUUUUUUUUUUGCGAUGAAGCCAAACAUCCGUAUUGACGCCAGAUGAUUACCAAAUCCAUUUCCUGAGCUCCAAUGAAGACAUCCAAACGCAGUGUGUAAGCAUAUUGUGCUUUACGAUCGACAUGGAUAGUUUAGUCUUAGUCAAGACAUAUUUAACUCUUCGGUUUGUUUGUCUCUGUGUAUAGGUGGUUGAGGAUGUACGUAGCGCUUUCAACAACUAGUACUCCCUGGACAACUACUGCAAAUUAGAUUGGCUGCAUAUAUAUGCCAAGACCAGACAAAAUAGGAUCUUCAUCACUCUCCAUACUGAAGCCUCUUGACAUUCGGCUUCCAACUCUGUCUCCAGUUGAAGAAUAGUGUCUAGUAUAUACGUAGGCACUAUUUAUUAAACACUUAUUAAGGACAAUCUGCUUGAUUCGUUACGAUUUAUGCGGAUACGAUCCUUUGUUAGAUGCCAAAUGAUCUUGUUGGGUAUUGAGAUUAGGUAGACUUUGCGCAUUAGAUAUGGAGUUUUAAUUACAGGAUAGAAUAGAGCUUGUGACGUCAAAUGAGUUCAACAUUUACUCAAGUGGAUAAUAUUUAUGUUUAAUUAAAAUGAGUAUGAAAAUGAAACUCAGGAUACUGAUAUCUGGCAGCAUUUCGAUUAAGUCCAAAUAGUGAUCAACCCAUACGGUCACACGGGCCAGCUAUUUCUAAAACUAAUUAAUGCAUAUAUCAACUCGAUAACAUUCAUUGUAUUUCAGUGGGUUAAAGCCCAUAAAAUCUAACAGUAACAGUAACUACAACUUUAUGUGAGUUAACAUGACAGCUCUAUGCUAUACUAAUUAUUUCGAGCUUGUGAUGGACAGCUCGGAAUAAUACCAAAACCCCUAUGGUUAGCUAACAAAAUGGAUACAUUAUUUCUUUGGUUGAAAUCAAGGUUCUCUAAAUAUUAGUUAAGUUUAUUGGAGUUGCAGUUUCCCACCUGCUCGCUCUUCCUGCUCGUAUAUUGGUGACAACUCGACCUUUGAGCAGCUACAGCAAUGGAUUAAAAAAAUUACUUUUCGCUCCCCCGGAGCAUCUUGUGAACAUGUGUUAACAGACCAAUAAUUUAUGACCAUCUACUUUUUUAAGAAUCCAAAUUUAGAAAAUCAUGAAGAACCAACGUGUGGCUACAUAGUUAGAAGGGAAAUUAUACCCCCAACCUAUCAGAGAUGAAACUUCAGGUUUCACGCUUCAGGGACUCAUAAAGACGGAAUAUUUUCUCACUGCGAAAGGCGACAUUUAUGUUGAUAGCUAGGCGUCUGCGAUGGCUUCAUCAAUCUCAAGACGUACCGGCUCAGUCUUUCGAUGAUGCUCAUAGGGAUGAGUGUUUGUGAAGAAAAAAUGAUCUUAUGUUUUGAGCUAGUUAGCCCAUUUUACAUACUACUAGCAAAAGGGCCCGUGCGUUGCAACGGGAGAAAAAAUACCACACGCUUUUAAUUUUUUUAUAAUCAUUUUGAUUUAUUAAAAUAAUAAGCUAACUAACUAAUGUAGUCAGUCCUAUCCUAUUUUGUUGAAAAAUCAACCCGUUCAUUGUUAAUUCCAACAUGAUGAGAAAUUGAGCGGGACAAGCAAAGCAAAACAAAGAGGCUACAUGAAUUGAUCAAUGGACUGUUAUCUUAUUUUACUCAUGGGAUAGAGAAUGUGGGAUCAGAUGACAAACUGCAGGUGGUGUUCCAUUCUCUGUCUCUACAACAAUACAAUCUUACAUUCAAUACAUUCAUUCGUCAGCAAACAAAUCCCCAUAAAACAAAAUUUCUUGCCGGUGCUUGGCACACGGUUGGAGGCAUGGGGAGGGGAUCUCACCAGAUGAUGAGUUCCUGCCGGAGGAGGGGAUACGAUGAGGGGAGCAAGGGUUAGGCGCCUCUAUCUGGCCAUAAGGAGUCGCCUUUGCCGCGCCAUAACCUCGGAGUUCCCCGUGUGAGCCAUGAAGGCCCGCCUCAACCUGCAAGUACUUCGCUCCGCCGCACCUUAUUCGCGCGCCGCCGCCGUUUUGCAUCGAGCAGACGCAUCAUCCCCGGUCACUGUAGCUGUCGCGUUGAUUUGAUCCAGAAGCUGUGCUCGAGCAUCGAAACGGGGGCAGCAAGCGGGCAGAGGUACGGCCGCGGAGGCGGGUGGGUUGAGAUCGACAACAAUGGUGGUUGAGGUCGGCCGCGGCGGCGAGUGGUGUGGCAGCGGCCUGGGCACAGGCCAGGGUGGACCAGGGUCGACGCGAUGCGCUCGAGCGCCACAACAGGGGCAGUGAGCGGGGAGAGGUACGGCCGCGGAGGUGGGUGGGUUGAGAUCAACAGCGGUGGCAGUUGAGGUCGGCCGCGGCGGCGAGUGGUGUGGCGGCGGCCUGGGCACAGGCCAGGGUGACCCAGGGUCGACGGGAGGAGGCGAUGCGUACGGGUAUAAUUUUUGCAGCGAAUCGUUUUUUCGUUUUGCGUUGCAGAUAAAUGAUGAAGCGCGGGUUGAAUAACAAAAAUUACAGGGGCUUUCUUAUAAAAAUAUCGCGGUGGGUUUUCCGACGGAAGCAAUAGCCGCUUUAUUAUUAGGUAUAGACUAGAAGUCUUGUGUCAACCCAAAAUUACUGUGCGUUUGCCAUAGUAAACUCAAAUGCAUUGCUUCCAAUCGGAUGGUAUUUCGCGAUACUUUGCUAAUACUUGACACGGCUUAUUUGUCCCGAGUUAGCAAGCAUGACCAGCCAGCUCGGUCUUUUCUUCUAUAAAUAUGGAGGUGGGAGGAGGAACCCAUCAACCCAUCAUCUCUCACAAGAAAACAACGGCUGCAAGGAUGCGGUUGUUCGCUGCUGUACAGCCACAAGUUCGGUUGCUCGGCCAGCUGAAGGCUGAGCCACGGGACCGAACCUUUCUGCACCUAGGCUUACGCUCACGUCCGGGACUACGAGGUAACCAUGACUUACGUAUCUUGUAACUAGGGGCCCCGACCCAGGCCGCUUUGAUAAGUUUAUUAUGGCAUAUUUUGUAACCACGCCAAAGAAAAAUUGUACUCCCUCCGUUCUUACAUAUAAGUAUUUUUUUAAAGAUUCACUUGGAAACUACAUACGAAUGUAUAUAGACAUACUUUGGAGUGUAGAUUCACUCAGUUUGCUUCAUAUAGUUCCCUAAUGAAAUCUUUAAAAAGACUUAUAUUUAAAAACGGAUGGAGUAACACUUAACUGUUCACGUGAAAAAUUAUUUAUAUGUAUCAUACUGAAAAUAAUUUGUCGGAUCUGGGAGGGCUGCUGGCCCUUGCACAUCGAAAAGGCUAAGACAAGAGCACGACUAGAACCGCAUAUAUUUCUUGUACUUAUUAUUUAUUCACUUGAGAUGCCUGGUUUUUAGGGUGCGUGCUAAAUAGCACAUUUUUGGACCACGAGGCAGAAACACACGAACUACCAGUUGAUGGGUUUAGAAAACACAAGGUGCGUAUUUAUAUGUGUAUCACUAACUCAAGUUGGGUGGACUUAUAUUUUGUGCACAAAUUGGUUUACAUAAUUAACUCUGGUUAAAAUGAUAAAAUUUACCUCAAGGAUGACCUUGAUGAGAUGCCACACAUGAUUGAAUCCAUCAGAGGAGCACUGAGGUCAAUGAGCGGGGGCGAGAUUAGUGUGUCUCCUUAUGAUACAGCCAUGGUGUCACUUGUCAAGAACCUAGACGGAGGAGAUGGGCCACAAUUCCCAUCGACCAUUGAAUGGAUCGUCCAGAAUCAGCUUCCAGAUGGUUCAUGGGGUGAUGGUGCCUUUUUUAUGGUCAGAGACCGGAUCAUCAACACCCUAGCAUGUGUUGUGGCAUUGACGUCUUGGAAUAUUUACACUGACAACUGCAAGAGAGGUAUAUCACUGGAAAUUUCUUUCAACCGGAACAAAAUGUUUACGUUAUAUUCAUCUCAGUGUGGAUGAGAUAUUAACUGCCUAAAGUAUAAAUAGUAUGUUUUUGUUAUAGGUUUGUUGUUUAUCCGACAAAAUAUGUCGAGGUUGGCUGGCGAGGAUGAUGAUUGGAUGCUAGUCGGCUUUGAGAUUGCCUUCCCCUCACUUCUAGAUAUGGCCAAGGACCUAGAUCUGGAUAUCCCUUAUGAUGACCCUGCACUGCAAGCAAUAUAUGCCAAGAGAAACUUAAAGCUCGCUAAGUAUGGUUCUCUCUGAAUCUAUCCAUUUUACUUUAUUUUGAAGUCCUGAAAAUGUUAAUCAAGCCAACAAACAACAAAUGAAUUUACACUUAAAGGUUCUUCAUUUUGAACUCCUGAAAACUCUAGGUUGUCACCCAUCUAUUACUCUCUCCGUUCCUAAAUAUAAGUAUUUUUUAGAGAUUUCAUUAUGGGACUACAUAUGUAGCAAAAUGAGUGAAUAUAUACUCUAAAGUUUGUCUAUAUGUUUUUGUAUGUUGUCCCCUAGUGAAGCCUCUAAAAAGAAAUAUUUAGAAAUGGAGGGCGUAUUUCAGUAUUUACUACUAUACUCCCUCCAUUCCUAAUUAUAAGAUGGUUUACCAUUAUUCCGAUUCGGAUGUAUAUAGACACGUUUUAGUGUGUCUGUUCAUUCAUUUCACUCCAUAUUUAACCCAUAUCUAAAUAUCCAAAAUAUCUUAUAAUUAGGAACUGAGGUUGUGCAUGAGAAGCAAGGGCUUACUACACAGUUAUAUGUUCAGCCAACCAAUUACUCCAUCCUAAAGAAAUAUAUGAGCGUUUAGAUAACUAAAGUAGUGAUCUAAACACUUUUAUAUUUGUUUAGGGAGGGAGUACUACAGAAGAUGUUUAGGAAUUAAGUUGUGACUUUUUAUACUAAUUUACUAGAAUUUUGUUAUGUUUUUCUGUUUGACAAAGGAUAACUUCAGAUUUUAUUACUUUUCAUAAAUUUCUGCAUCACAGGUCUGUAACAAAAAAAGGUACUAAAAACUAAAGGAAACUAGGUGAAUUGAAUAGAACAUAAACUCACCUGGUGUGUAUAACAUUGAUGAAAAAACAUCAUAAUAUAUAUAGUUCAAAAGCAGCCAAGUGCCUUCAUUUGUACGGUACCUGACCCUCGGGAAAUGUGAAAUAGCAGAUUCUAAUCAAGGUUUGCACUACUGGAGCCCAUCCAUGUGUUCUAUUGCCUCUGCCACCACUAUUGCUAAGUAAGCCAGAUAAGAAAUUAAGCCAGUGACAAAUAUAAAUGUCUGCCAACAGGAAAAACAAUGGUAGGCACAACAUGCUAUGAUGGUAGAGGUGGGCGUAAGAGGACAUUGCUCCUUUCUAGUUUUUGCCGGUAUAUACACUUGUUUAUAGCAAGAUAUUAUUACUCCAUUCAUAAGGCAAUGUCUUUAAUCGCAAGAAAACAGAUGUGAUAGUACAUACAACAACUAUAUACGAAUAAUGUGGCUGGAUUUGUUUCACAGAUUUAUAUUUGUAAUCUACUUAAAAUCAGUGUGCAUUGACAAUUGUAAAAUGUCAACAUCAUUUGCACCUGUUGCAUUAUGGAGUACAAAACAUUUCCCUCUUUUCUUUUGUAGGUUUAGGAGUGUAUUUAUAAUCAAUUAGUCAACUGACUUUAUCAAUUUUAGGAUUCCUACGGACAUACUGCAUGAAACACCAACGACUCUACUUCACAGCAUAGAGGGAAUGGUAAACUUGGACUGGCAAAAGCUGCUUAAACUCCGGUGUUUGGAUGGAUCCUUUCAUUCGUCACCUUCUGCCACAGCUUUUGCUCUAGAGCAUACAGGCGACAAGAAAUGCCUUGAAUUCCUUGAUGGAAUCAUAGAAAAUUUUGCUGGCGCAGGUAGGCAGAAAGAAUAUAUAUAUAAUUUGUCGAGUCACAUGCACAAGUUUUAAGAUCUUCAUAAAAUGAUUGUACUAGUUUGUUGGUGUUUUUAUAAAUGGAUUGUAUGAAGACAAAAAUUUGAACUUAGAAAGUCACAUUUUAUAUGGAUGGUAUUCAGAAUAAUAAAACUAAGUUCUGUUAGGGAACAAUAGGGUUGGAGAUUAUCCAGCCGAAAACUAUAUUUUACAAAGCCAGGUGUUAUUAUAGGAGCAUCAAAGGAACACACUUCACACUAUGUUCUGGACAUAAUUCCAUAGUUUAAUUAUCGUUUUUGUUUCUUGCAAAGUACAUCUAGUUUACUCUUGAAAUUACCAUAGGUUCAAAUACACAUUUUUUUACUAACACUAUUUUUAGGAAUUCAUUAUGUGUCUAUGUCUUACGGGAUUCAGUAUUUGUUCCAUUUGCACAUGAUAUGUUUACUAGCAAAAUAAGUCAACAAAAAUGUACACUUUUUUACAUAAAGGAUGCCGAUCCCGUUGAAACCAACAUUCAUAAGGAUUUAUGGGAAUAUGCGUAUGUGUACAAUAUAUAAUUGUUUAAUAUCAAAUGUUUGUUUUAUUUCUACUGUAGGUAAAAUCGGUCAACAAGAAUAGACACCUAGAACAAUAUUGCUUUAUUACUUCUGUUUGUAUAUGUCAGGACCAUCCAAUCGAAGACUUAGGGCCCAGUUGAAUUGGACUAAAGAACAAAUAAAAUUUGAGGAUUUUGAAUUCAAUGGAAAAAAAAUUCUCUUCAUGCUAUUGAAGCAAAUAAAUGAAGCUUUAGUAUUCCUACAAAUAUCCUAAGGGAAAGCUAAACCAAUAGGAUUUUUUUUGGGAUACAAACAUGAGUUGUGAGCACAUGAAUUUUUGCCUUGUCUAGCUAGGCACUUCUCUCUCCAUUAGUGCAUAAUAUCUAUGAAUAUUUCAAACAAGCAAUAAAAAGUUCAUUUAGUUUUUUUCUCAUAGAAUUUCACAAGGCAUGCAACCCUAGUCCGUCCAUUUUCCAACUGCAUAUAUUAUUUCAACUCAUGUGUUGUAGUAGUGGAGUCAUUAAACUUUGGAUGCACAAUUUUUCUACAAAAAGGAACAUACUAAAUGUCCAAUACCAAUACCUUUCCUUUCUAAUUAGCUUUGUUUACUUGUACCUUCAUUGCAUUUCAGUGCCCUGUAUCUACCCCUUGGAUGUGUAUGAGCACUUGUGGGCGGUUGACCGCUUGAUGCGACUAGGCAUAUCCAGGCACUUCGUAAGCGAAAUUGAGGGCUGCUUAGAGUUUGCCCACAGGUAACAUAUAGUACUUAUUUGAACAUCCAUAACCAAAUUAUAUGUUUAUCUGACAAUGAAAGGGCACUUUCUAUUCACCACUAACCAUUCAACUAGCAAGGUUAUAUCUUUAGAAACUCCACAACAUUGGGAAGCAUAUAUCUCUGCCAUUCAAUAUGAUUUAUUAAUGUGAGAUCAUGUAUUGCAAUAAUUCAUAAUAUUAAGAUACAAGUUGAUGGAAAUUAGAAUGUAAUGGGAGGGUAGACAUGCAUAGGGGUUUGCAGUUAUUUCCAAGUCUAUGCUAUUUGGUAAAACAAAGAACGCCACGGAAGCUAUGAUAGUUUGUAUAUCUGAGUUUUUCUCUAUACAAUGGGUACUUAAUACAAUGGUAACAAACUAUGAAAACGUCAGUGCAUUUGAUUUUUAUAUGUAUAGAUUUUUGCAAAAGAAAACUCAUAUAUAAAGGGACCAACAUCACUGCAAUUUUUAUUUGUGUGGGUGCUCAAACAUGUUUUGUCAUAUAGAUUAAUUUUAAGGUUUUUUGCAUAUGCUACCUAUUUCCAUACAUUAUACUCCCUUCAUCCUGAAUUAUUUGUCGCAGAAAUGGAUAAAAAUAGAUGUAUUUAGAACUAAUUAAAAAUACUUUUGAAUACAUCCAUUUAAGCGACAAGUAAUUCGGGAAGGAGGGAGUUCUAUUAACCCUCCUCUUCAGCCUGAACAGUAAACUGAGGUGCCAUGCCUCAAUGUACUUGUGGCAAAUACAAUACCAGAUAUGUCUAUAUGUAAUAUAUGCAAAAACUUGAACAGGCACUGGACUCAAGAAGGAUUGGCUCAUACAAAGAACUGUCCAGUGAAGGAUAUUGAUGACACAGCAAUGGGCUUUCGACUUCUCCGUCUUCAUGGUUACCAUGUCAAACCAUGUAAUAACUAGCAUUCCCUAAUACUUAAGGUAUAUGCAUGUACAUACAUGAGAGGUUUAACAAAAGUGCAUAUGGACAGGUGUUUUUAAGAACUUUGAGAAGGAUGGGAAGUUCUUCUGUCUGCGAGGGGAGUCAAACCCAUCUUCUGUCACCCCCAUGUACAACACUUACCGGGCAUCCCAGUUUGCAUUUCCCAGCGAUGAUGCUGUCAUUGGGCGGGCUGAGGUCUAUUGUCGCAGGUUCCUCGAAGAGAGAAGAGCCUCAAACAAGCUCAAGGACAAGUGGGCAAUCGCAAAGGACAUCCGAGGCGAGGUACAUUCCUGCAGAUAUCUAAUUUUGUUCUCAGCUGGCAGAAAAUUAGCAAUUGCAUCUCGUCUUAUAUACUUCAGUAACAGGUUGAGUACGCACUGGAUUACCCAUGGAAAGCAAGCUUGCCACGAGUUGAAACAAGGAUGUACUUGGAGCAAUAUGGAGGCAGUGCUGAUGUGUGGAUUGGGAAGGUCCUCCAUAGGUAACCUUACAAUGUAUUCCUUAUUAUUUGAAAAUAAUUGAAGUUCGAGUUUUGUCUUUAAUCAAAAAUAUUAUAAAUUUGACAAAGUUCAUACAAAAAUGUGCAAUAUCUACAACACCAAAUUAGUUUUAUCAAGUCCAGCACUAUUUGUUUCCAGUGCAAAGCAUUUAGGGAUUCUCCACCUCGUUACGGUGCCUUUUAUUACCAACGAGUUAUUUAUAGCUAGCAAAUUAAAUCAAAAUGUGCAACAACGGGGAUAAUUAUUUUUGAAACUACGCAGAUCGCGUACCUAGCAAAUUAAAUCAACAUGUGCAACAACGGGGAUAAAUUUUUUCGAAACUACGCAGAUCACGUACCUUAUUUUUAUCAUAGUUUUAAAUAGCCGGCUAUAUAGCCUUGUUAUAGCCUUUUCAGCAGGGGCCGUUAAAUGAUAUCAUGUAAAAAUAUGCAGCUAUAGCCCGCUAUAGCUGAUUUUGAGGCCUGCCGCUAUUUGUCAUAGCCCGCUAUUUAAAACAUUGAUUUUUAUGAAAGGUAGCGGAAAUUAUACAAUAAUAUGAUUAUAAGGUGUCCUUGGUAUGUUGAAAACCUCCUUGGCAUUUUUUUCUCUCGAAUGUGCACGAGUGUGCAUAUCAUAUAUUAAAGAAGAAAGACAAAGAGUGCCUCCAUCCAAGUUUACAAGUACAUCAAGUACACUCCACCCUCAUGUAUGUCGAAAACCCCCUUGGUAGUAGAAGCCCUUUCCAUGACUGGUCCUACUCAGUUCUCCUCAGCCACUCCCACCGUCCCAUCUAACCCGAAGAGCAAUCCAUACCUUUUGGGCUUGUGCACAUUGCCCCAUGCCACCAGUAAUUUACUUCGAUUUAUCUCAUCCACGUCGGCUCAAAACAAAGCUCUCGGCCAUUUGUUCAUCCAUGACCAGAAGGUGCUGUACAGGUCUAGCUGCAAUGACACUAUUUACUAGGACAAACUGCCCAUGCCUUUGUAUGAGGCCCUGCUGCCAGGAAAGAAUGAUAGAUUGCACUUGAUCCAACAUCGGCUACCACUAGUUCUCUUCUCAGUCAGGGGAUUGAUCGCAAGCUAGAGCGCUAGAUAUUUACACGGGAAAGUGCCAAUGUCGCAUCCCCCUGAUGCAGUCCAUGCACAUAUGCAAUCUUCCUUCCGGAAACCCCGUUCGCCAAGACUUUGGUGCUAGCCGAAGACAAAGCAAUUGCCAUCCACUUCAAUCAAACCUCCCACAAAACCCUUUUGACUAAGUACUUCAAACAAAAAUUCGCAAAGUAGGGGGUGGAAAGCUCGAGAUAUGUCCAUCUUCAGAAGUACUCCUCUCUCUUUCCUUGCAUGAAUCUUUCUUGCCACUUAGCACCCAUGAACAGAGGCUCCCCCUCCCUUCCUGACUCUCACCCACGUCUCCCUNNNNNNNNNNNNNNNNNNNNNNNNNNNNNNNNNNNNNNNNNNNNNNNNNNNNNNNNNNNNNNNNNNNNNNNNNNNNNNNNNNNNNNNNNNNNNNNNNNNNNNNNNNNNNNNNNNNNNNNNNNAACCCUAGCCGCCUCCCCCUCCGCCUCCCCCUCCCCCUCCCUUCCUCGCCGCCGCCUGAGGCAGCCGCCGGGCAAGCCCGGGGCGUCAAGGAUGGUGGCAGCGGGGCCUAGGCUGCCCUGCCUCUGCAUGUGGAGUCCCGGAUCUGGAGCGGCGGCUUCAUUGGCGAGGCACGACAGGCUAGCAGCCGUGCGGGAGGUGGAUCCGGCGUCUCGGCCGCGCGGGCGGCGGGAUCCGGUGGUCGCUGGCGUCCGGCGGCGGCUUUUGCGGUUGCCGGUGCGCGCGAUCUAGCGCCUCCCCUCCUUCCCUGUUCGGCGUGCGGGCCAGCCUGGUCGGGCCGCGCUUCCUUGGAUUGCCGGUUUUGUACAGGAGGUGCUGCUGGUGGUGGGGAUCUAGUUCGGGCGAAAUCCCUGGUCGACCAUGGCCGGCCGCAUCGACGGCGACGCCUGAGGGCGCCGUUCCCCUCCUUGAAGGCGUCGGUAUGGACUGAUCCCCUCACUUCCCCUUCCCCUAGGUCUCCCGGGCGAAAGCCUUAACUUUGUUGGGCGGCGGUGGCGCUCACGGCGUCGUUCCCUUCUUGAAGGCGCCGCUUUGGAACCUUGGGGCUGGGUGGCGCUUGUGGGUGGUGGGCGACGACGGUGGUGCGACCCUAUCCUAGCAUGGAUCUCCGUCCGUUGCUUGGAGAUGGACUCGCGUAGGUGGAGGUCGUCGUUUGGCGUCAUGAUGGCGUCGAUGGCGGAGGCACCUGCCAAGGCUGGUACCUCAAUCUGAUCUGAAGAUGGACCAAUAGAAGAUGACGGCGACGACACAUGUGAGUGCGUCGGACCGGUUUGCGCCCCGGACCCGGUAUGUGGCUCGGUCAGGGUCUCCGGCUUUAGAUGUUAGGCUUAGGUGAGAGGUCUGAGUAUUUGGUCCAGCUUGCACCCCUUUAUCAUAUGGAUAGGAGUAGCGGCAGAUGUUGCCAAAAUGGCGGAUUCAGACAUAUUGUUGUACUACUUUGUAAGAUCCUCGAGAAUAAUCAAAAAAAUGGCCGCAUGCAUCUUCCAGAUGCAGAGGCCGGGGGUCAUCCUCCUUUUCAAAAAAAAAAAAAAAACACACACAUGAACAGAUUAGUAUCCACUCCCACUUUAGCCAAGAUUGACAGGAUCCACGGCAUGGUACAUAUUAGUAUUCACGUCCGGUCAAUCUUGCUUAAAGUGGGAGCAUUCCUCUCAUUACUCUACGUGUAGCAUCUCAAGCAUAUAGAUCUUCUUGAGCCGAUGAUCAUCUACAAAGCUCCUAGUAAUCAUGUUCAUCAUGCCGCGCUGAGUAUUCAAGUUAUUUUUCUCGGACACCCAGAGGAUCAUGUUGAAGUUCCCAAUGAGCAACCAGGGUCUAGACAAAGCAGUCUUCUUGCCCGCAUCUCCUCUAGAAAUUUUAUUGCGAGUGCAUCAGCUUGAGUUUCCAAAGCAGGCAAAUACACGAAGCCGUCAAAGCACGGCCCCAAACAUUUCAAAACCAUGGUUUUGUUGAUGUUGGAUCCAAUUUUGUCUCUUGCACACAUCCAAAAUUCACUUUGGUCCCAGCCACCCACUCCCUCACCACCUUCCUCUUUGCUGGGUUACAUGGAUAUACAUAUAUAGGAACUGAACAUACGCACAACACACACACCGCAGUCACAGACGCACACACUACUGCACUAUGCGUUUACCAAGAUCUACAACCUAUACACACACGACACAUCUUGAGAAACUUCUGAAACCAUCUGACUCCAUGAAAGGCCCCAUGGAUCGAACUUGGGAGGGCUGAGAGGCCACCGCCACAACAAACUAUCGAGCCACAGGCUAGUCCUCGCAAAACGUUUUAUUAUCCUUGAGCCUAAUUUUGAAUUUUUCAGGAUGACCCUCUUCUGCAACGACCUGUAUCUCAAGAUGGCCAAAGUUGAUUUCAACAGAUUCCAAGUACUCUGCCGACUUGAGUUGCAUGGCAUGAAAGAGUAUGUCCUCAGGUUUACUAACCAAGCAAAAAUAAUUAGCUUCUUACUCGAAAGUGAUUCCUAUACAGGUGGUAUUCUAGGAAUAAUCUACAGAAGUAUGGUGGACCUCCGACGAAGAGCUUGCUGACAGCUUACUUCUUAGCAUCAGCAAACAUCUUUGAACCAGAACGAGUAGCAGAGCGUCUUGGUUGGUCUCGCACUUUGGUGCUUGUGGAUGUCGCCUCUUCUUACUUCCGACGCAUUGGGUACCUAGCUUCUUAUUUCUGAUUAUGGUGAAGCCUUAUCGGUCAAAGUUAACAUGCUCGUGCGUUCAUGUAGCGGAGCAAAAAAUUCAAGGGAGAAUCUUGAUCGGCUUAUCGACCUCGUAGCAUUUGGCAACUCUAAUUCCGACAGUCUUCGUAAAGCUGUAAGGCGUAGAAGCUUCUUACAACACUAGCUCAAACAUGUCUGGUGUGAUGCUAAAUGUAGUGAUAAUGGUUCCAUCUUUUUUUUUCUAACUGUAGUGGAAGCAAUGGCUCAUGGCAUGCGAUGGGAAGGAUAGCCAGGUUUCAUGGGAUGGGGACACUGCACUGUUGCUGGUUCGCGCGAUUGAGAUCAUCUCAGGGCGGCAUGCUCGAAUUGCUGAAAAUGAUAACCUAUCGGAGUAUUCUCGGCUAGAGCAGCUCACUUCUUCCAUCUGCGAUAAACUUUCUGCAAGGGUUCUUGUCCAGGUGUGUUUGCACAUGCAUUAUCUCCUGCUAUACAUAUGUUUUUGUUGUGUGUGGUUCCACAAUCAGGGAAAAUAACGGUUUAAUCAUUCAAACAGAAUGGGAAUAUCCAAGAUUUGGACAAUCAGGUGGAUUCGGAGAUGCAGGAGAUCACACAGCGCGUUCUUGAAGGGAGUAACGGUAUCAACAAAUUGAGCAGGCAAACAUUUCUCCACGUGGUGAAGAGCUUCUGCUACGUUACACAUUGCUCACCUGAGACAAUUGAUAGCCACAUCAGUAAGGUCAUAUUCCAGGAUGUUAUAUAAGGAAAUCCUGCCCUCCACCCACCCACCACCACCAAAACACCGCAACGUCCUCCCAUAUCCAAAAUUAAUGUAUCAUUUCUGGUCCUGAUAAUACUUAUGUCAACUGGUUAUGUGAUCCUAAGAAAUAAACGUGUCCACAUGGCAGUGCUCGUUGUUCAAUACUUAGUUGAGUUAGUGUUGAAUAUCAUGCACAAGAAGGGUCACGUAAGGACUAUCGUUCUAUUUUUAUUUAUUUUUUGAUGGAAGAGUAUCGUUCUAUUUUAUUUUAUUUUCACGGAAGACUAUCGUUUUAAUGUACAGGGUCCCUUUAAAAAAAGGAGUAAUGCUACAUCUACAAAGGCUUAUUUAAAGAUUUUACGUACAAACUGAUGUGUAAGAUUGUGAUUGGUAAUUGAGGGAUGAUGGCCCCACCUUCACUGAAAAUCAGGGGGAGAGAAGAAUUAGUUUGAAAGGCUAAGUAAACCUUUGUAAGUCUUUGUAGGUCUAGCAUUAUUAUAAAAAAAAUCACACUCCACACUUGUAACGCACACUUGUAAAAGAAGGUCCAGUUAUUAACUUCAGGCUUUAGCACAGCAACCGACUUCAAGAUCUGGAUUAUUGUUCUAUAAGAAAAAACUAUAGUAAUGUAAAUCAAUAAAUAACAGAAAUGAUAUGGAACUGAUGUUCCCUCGCGCGCAACGUCCCGUGGAGCGUUGGAUCAGACACGCACACACUACUCUUGGCACAACCUGUAUUUUUUUAAGACCAAAGGGAGGAGCUCCUCCUCUGCUGUUAGAGCGUCUCUAGCAGACUCCGUAAAUGGAUCGACAGACGGACAAAAAAGAGACGUGCGUCCGUUUAGGUCGCGCGUUACGCGGAUCCAAACGGACGGCGACGGACGAAAUGGAUCACCCCGUUGAAGUUGCUCUAAGUUUCGGCUAGCCUGUGUUUGCAUCUAUUGUUUAAAGUAAACCUUGCAAACCGGUGUGUGUUUUCUUUCGCGAAAGAAACUAGUGUGCUUUUCCUCAUGAGACAUGGGCACAUUAGCGAAGGAACGAUCAUGUCUAUCUACUACCACUAAAAAAGAACGAAGAGGCAGAUCCAACUCCCCCUCUCACCGUUUAAUUCUGUCAUCAAUGGUCAAAACAUCGUUAACGAAAUUGAUCCUUUCGUUAACGAAACCCUCCGCUAAUUUCUAACGAAACCUCUUCCUAGCGAAACCCCUACUCUCCAUACUGGGAACCGCUCCCACGCCUCCCACUCUCGCGAACUCAGGUGCUCGGCCCGCCGGCCUCCCCCGCCUCGCCGCAGCCGCCGGUGCCGCCUGCGCCCGCCUCGACCUGCCCACGCCGGUGUCGCCUGCUCCCGCGCCGGUGCCGUCCGCUCGCCCCCGUCCCCAUCUCCGUCGGUGCCGCGUGAGUCCCCGCUUCCCCCCACCCAUUCCCGUCCGCCUCCCGCGGCCUCGGCCUCCGCCGCCCCGUCGAUCCACUCGGCCGCAGCGGCUCCGUCCCCUCGAGGUAUUCAACCCACAUUGUAUCUUAUCUGCUUCGUUUCUAGCGCAGCGGAGGACGAGAAGGUGAGGGGCGGCGCCACCUGUACCCCACCUACACGCCGACGUCGUCCGUCCACGCGGUUGCCGGCGACUACCGCCCCCGGAGUUGGCGUCUACUCCCUGGGCAUGCUCCUGCUGGAGCUCCUCACCUGAAAUCUGAUACUAUCUGAACUGGAUGCGUCUCUAUUCACCUGCAAUCUGUUCACGGCGAUCUGCCUAUGUCUGCGCAUUCCAACCAGUUUCAAGGAGGACCCACGCAGAGUAUGGUCUUAUGGAAGUGCUCCCGACAGCAGUCUAGCCGUUCUCAGAUCACAUUGGGCUUAGUCGAUUCUUCUCGUAACAAGAACACAAGAUCAUCUGAAGCACAGAGUCUGAAGUACUUCGUCAGCUUAGUGGGCCGACGAUUGCGUAGCGGAUUAUCAACCAGAGAGGGCAGUCUAAGUGAAAAGCUCGACGUACUUUCAUCCGACAGAAUUUCGGGUAUUGGUUGAAAAUGGAGAGGUGUGCAUCAAAAGAUAGGAGCUACCCCCGGUGGACUCUGCUUUGUCUUUUUCAGUUUGAGGGAUCGCAAAAGCUGAGAUGCCUAUGGACAGAAAGACCAACUGUGCAGAAACUUCAGCAUCAACUUCUCACGGGAAGAAAGUCUACACGGAUUAUUCUCUCAGCGGUGAGAAAUGCAGUUGUGUUAGGCUUAAUAAUUGCUUUUGUUAAAAAAUAGAGUGCCUUUAUAAUAUUUAUAUUAUGUGGAUAUGUAAGCAUGUCAUUAAGCUACUGCUUGUGACUGUUUUAUCUGGAUUUGCCAGGCAUUCCAGGAGAUGGGAGAUGCCUAUUCCACCCCAUGGUUCAUGGGGCGUGUGUCUGGUAAUAGGAAGAUCUUCACAGAAAGCUAGCUGAUGAAUUGAGGUCAAUGGUAUGUCUGGAAUGUUUCUAGGUAUUUUGUUCUCUAAAUCUACUAUUGACUUUCAUUCUCUAAAUCUUCUAUACACAUCCAUCAUUGUACAGGUUGCCGAUGAAUUUGUCACUAGACGGGAAGAGACCGAAUGGUUAGUAGAUGCACAUUCUUACUGUUAUGUUUGCUCUUCUGGUUUUAAAAUGGGUGGAUAAUUAUAAUUGAUAUGUUUUGAACUGUCGCAUUUCCUUGAAUCAACGAUUGACAGGUUUGUUGAGGGCUAUUUUGAUACAUACGUUUCCCAGAUUAGGCAGCCACAUGUGUGGGGUGGUGAGCCAGAACUUUUCAUGGCUUCACAUGUUCUGCAGUAAGUAACUGGACCUGUUAUGCAUUCUUCUUCAUGGAUACCAAGGGGGUUGCCAACAACGAAAUAUGAAGGCUUACAUAUGUUUUGUUAGCUAAUAUCUAUAUCCGUGGAGCUAAAUAGCUUAAUGCAAAGAGUUGACUCUUCCUACUAUGUUUAUGUGAAAUCAUUUACAAAGUACAGAUACCAGUAGGGACAAUGUUCAAAAUAUUUGUUUCCUAGGAAUUGUUCAAAAUAGAUUGAGUACACAGCAUUCAGUGAAGUUGGCUAAAUUCCGGUGACAGUUAAAACUACAUAGCUAAGAAGUUCUCAUGUUAAUGCAAAGAAACGGUUCCUUCUUGAUGUGAUGUAUGCUCAGUACUUGGUUAACACGCGCUUAAGCUGUAGAGUCCAUGAAGUAAGAAAAAACCAUUAAUCACUUUGUUUACACAGGAUGCCAAUAACUGUGUACAUGCGUGAUGAAGAUGUGGGUGGUUUAAUAACUAUCACUGAAUAUGGCCAAGAAUAUGGUAAAGAAGAUACAAUACAAGUUCUGUAUCAUGGUUUUGGCCAUUAUGAUUCCCUACAGAUUCAGAAGACACAGGGGUCUGAAGACAAGAAUGUAGAAUUUGGGAGUUCAACAUUCAGAAGGUAAGGCCAAAGUAUUCCGGUUUCCAGUUUUCCCAUGUCGAUAUAUUAGUUGAGAUACUGAUGAGUGAGAUGACGAGAAUAAUUGUAAUAUAGCCUGAGUGAUAAGUAUCAUUAAGUUUUGCAGCAUCAUUAACUAUGUUGAAAGGAAAAAUACUUUACAUUAGAUUUUCCAUAAUAAUGUAGUGAUAAGUAAGAAAUCAUGAAUCAGGAUUAUUGAGUAGUUAUUCAUUCCUCACAACAUCGUUAACUAUUAUCAUAUGUGAACCUGGAAAACUGCUUACCAGUUACUACGUUGCUUCUCUUUUGAAAUUCUAAAUUAGCAUAAUUACAUCUUGAAUUCAUCAAUGGCGCAUUAUUUUGGACUACUCUUCUUAACUGAGACCAAAUAUAAAUGCCCUAGAGGCCUUAACAAUAGGAUGGCUUAAUCCUUUCAGCAUCCAAAAGUUAUUAAAAAAACUUAAAAAAACUCCAAUUAUGGUGAAGAAUGGAUGAGUCUCUCAUGGAGAUAUUUGUAUUUUGAGUUCUAUAACCACUUGAUAUUUUUCUUGCAAAAACUCCAUGUGUACAUGAACGAUAUUGGUCAGUGAUCUUAAGAUGCCCUACUGUACUACAUGGAAGCAAGUAAUUAUGCAAAUUGUAAUCGCGUUGGUAUAAAGCUUGGACUCUACUACACGGAAGAAAGAAAUAUUUUAUGAAGUCCCUCUACUAAAACCAUUAAAUCUAUUUUACUCUUUAUUGUUGCAGCUUCACUACCAAUUCAUAUCACAUUCGGAAACCAGCAUUAGAUGAGACUAUCCAGAUUUAAAACACAUUAAUAUUGAUAAAAAUAUACUAUCAAGUUCAGGUAAAAGGUAAGUACAGUUUUUAAGGAGUCAUGCCUGCUUCAACAAAUAUGUUCUUCAAAGCGUAAAACAAGCCAGUACAUCUCCAUUAAUGUUUUAUUUACUUCCAGUUGUAACACUUCAGCUCAUACUUAUCGAAUUUGUUAUCCUUCUUAUAAUGCUCUAUGUGGAGAAUAACAGACGGACACUUGGAAGUGUAAAUGGUAGUAAGAUCAAUGACCGACUUUGUACAUCUGAAAAUUUCGUGAACAGAAACGUGAUGUAAGAGUUUGCCUCAUUGUGAAAUGCAUGCUCAUGUAUCCUUUUUAUGCGUAUUUUCUGUAUAGAAACAUAAGGUCGUCUUUAUCAUGAAAACUUUUUUUGUGCUCAUGGUGCACAUAAUUCCUGUUUAUGUGAGAAUGAGAUAUAUCUGCAUCUAUAUUGCAGCCUAACGGUUAUACUUCACUUUUCUCUCUAGGAUGAGUUGAGCUUAAACUUUGUGUUAGUAAGAGACAAGGGUCUCUCUUAGCAUAUAAAAGCAAUCCUCACAGGAAGGAGCAUAAUGAAGUUAGUUUAUAGCACUCCCGAGUCCCUCCCCAGUAGUUCUCAUGAAGUAUCAAUCUUAGACUGAUUGCUCUCUUGUUGUGGUCUUACAAGACUUGAAAUAUUGGUAUGUCCCAUACAUUGUCUUAUUGCAUUAGUUUGGUUAUAUCUGCAGUGUGUACAUGUUUUUUUUCUUAUCUUUAAUUAUUAAUGACAAAUAAACAACAUUGUUUGUUAUCUUUACUUAUUAAUAAAAAUACGUAGGAAUUCUGGAUAAUGACUUCUGAAUAACAAUAAGUAGAAAUUCUGAAUAAAAAAGUACAUGAGUAUGGCGUGCACCUUAACAGAGAAGUAAUAAUUUAGACUUUUGACAGGUUGACGUUGAAAUUUUUAGAGAGCUGCACCCAUCUUGUAUGCCAACAUUGGUCUUUAGAUUAGUCAGUGUUGUGUUGCAGCAUAUGUUCGCUAUAGAAUACAUUCAGGAGUUCUAUAGAGUUUCGUCUGCAAGCUUUUGAUACUAAUGACUGUAUCUUUAUAAAGAUAUUUCAUGUUUCUGAAAUGAAUUUUGUCUAUGUGAAGACAAGAAAGAGUGGAUAGCACUAGCAGGUCUUAAAUUUGCAAGCUUUUCUUCAAGCAAGGUAAUCGUAUGAACUAAAUAUUUGCCGGAUAUAAUUAAAGGUGAAUGGUUUGUUACAAAUCUAGCAUACACCUUUUUGAAUCUUGAUCUUGGUUCACAUAUAGCUUACAUAAUGUGAAGUUGUAUUUUAAAGUGUGACGUUUCCAAAAUGAAUGCCAAACAUAAGGGAAUAUGUCAACGUCCAAACAUUGAAGAGGGGAGAGGGGGGUUAUAACAUCGUUGAUUCUGGCUCUUGUCGUUAUAGAUGGGAGGACAAUACAUCUCUACUCUGUCCUUUCCAUAAUUCUUGCCGUGGUUUUAAUUCAAAUUUCCUGAUAAGAAUUAUGCAUGAAUUGGAGGGAAUACUAUGGUACUUUAUUCUUCUAUUCUUGUUUAUCUUUCAUAUGUGUGCUUGUAAGCAUUUAGGUUAAUGUUUUGCUACCAUGACAACACAAAGUUCAGUUCACUAGUUCUUGAUUGGAUAUCUGAUUGAACAAAGAAAUGUAUAUUUAGGCAUUGGACAUGUUUCAUGUCUGAAAUUACAGACUAGGCAUUAGUUUUUUUCCGAAAAGGAGGCAUUGCCCCGGCCUCUGCAUCGAGGGAUGCAUGCAGCCAUUUAUUAAGUACAGUAACAGUUCGACACAAAGUACAAAGUAGACCGAAAAGCUGCGAAAAUAAAUUACAUGGCGAUUAACGCCAAAACCGAUGGAAAAAAUAGGCGUAGUUGACUAAAUCCCUAUUCUAUCAGCAUGACGCCAUCCAAAUCGGUUGAAGAUAGCCUGAGCUACCAUCUCUCAUCGGGCACACCCAGUAACCAAAGGCUCCCUGGUUACCACAGGAGUGAGUAAGGACCAAAGGCGGUAGCCCUGAAGGUGACCUGCAAAAAGUUGAUACAUUGUUGUCUGUUAAAAACAAGGUCAUUUCUACAAUUCCAUAUAGCCCACAAAAGUGCAGAUAUUCCAACUCUAAAUAGUUUGGCGAAAGAAACAUUAACCUCAUCCAGCCAUGUCCCAAAUAACAUGUGAAUGCUAGUAGGCGGCGAAAUGUUAAAAGUGAUAUGUAUAGAGCGCCAUAAGAUUUUAGCCAUAGGGCAGUCCAGAAAGAGGUGUUUAAUUGAUUCAGGCGACUGACAAAAGCUACAUCGUUGGUUUCCUUUCCAAUUUCGCUUGGCCAAGUUAUCCUUAGUUAAAACAACUCCUUUGUGAAGAAACCACAAAAAGAUUUUUAUCUUAAGGGGAACUUUGACCUUCCAAAUAUGCCUUGAUUUUGGGAUAAUUGAAUUAUCAAUACAAUGGUCAUACAUUGAUUUGAUCGAGAAUGUACCAUUGGAGGUCAGCCUCCAAAUAAUACAAUCAGGAUCAUCAGAAACACUAACAUCCAUUAACUUUCUGACUAGAUGUAACCAUGUAACCCAUCUAUUGCCAAUUAGGGAUCUGCGAAACUGAAUGUUGAGAGGAGUCUCACUUAACACUGCCGCAACGGACGUCUGUCUGCGCUGGGCAAUAUUAUACAGCUGCGGAUACUGAAGAGAUAGUGGUUCGUCACCUAGCCAAGUAUCCCCCCAGAAUCUAGUAGAUUCACCAUUGCCUAUGAUGAAUUUAGUCCUGUUAAAAAUGCCGUUUUUGUCCUCAUUAGGCCUUCCCAAAAAGGUGAAUCACCAGGUCUCAUGGUGACCUGGGCUAAGGUUUUUUGCUGUAGAUACUUGCUCUUAAGUAGUUGUAUCCACAUACCUUGAGCUUCCACUGAGAGUCUCAACAACCACUUGCUGAGCAGACACCUGUUCUUCACCUCUAAAUUUUCAAUCCCCAAACCUCCCUGAUCCUUUGGCCUACAAAUAAUAUCCCAUUUAGCCAGCCUAUAUUUGGUCUUGAUCUCAUCACAUUGCCAGAAGAAUCGGGAUCGGUAAAAAUCCAACCUUUUUCGCACCCCAACUGGUACUUCAAAGAAGGAUAGAAGAAACAUUGGCAUGCUCGUCAACACUGAGUUAACUAAAACCAAACGUCCUCCAUAGGAUAGUAGCUUGCCCUUCAGCUCAAUUUUUUCUCAAACCGAUCCUCGAUACACUUCCAUUCCUUGAUAGUUAACUUUCGGUAGUGAAUAGGUAUCCCUAAGUACGUAAAUGGUAACGUACCACCCUCACACCCAAAAAGUUGGUUGUAAGUGAGUUGUUCUGUUUUUGCGUGUCUCCAAAACAGAAGAGUUCACUUUUAUGAAAGUUAAUCUUCAGCCCAGAUAGCUGUUCGAAUAAGCAUAAUAUUAGCUUCAUGUUUCUGUUGGGAAACUUCGCAUGGGAAACAAAAAUUUUCCUACGCGCACGAAGACCUAUCAUGGUGAUGUCCAUCUACGAGAGGGGAUGAGUGAUCUACGUACCCUUGUAGAUCGUACAGCAGAAGCGUUAGUGAACGCGGUUGAUGUAGUGGAACGUCCUCACGUCCCUCGAUCCGCCCCGCGAACAAUCCCGCGAUCAGUCCCACGAUCUAGUACCGAACGGACGGCACCUCCGCGUUCAGCACACGUACAGCUCGACGAUGAUCUCGGCCUUCUUGAUCCAGCAAGAGAGACGGAGAGGUAGAAGAGUUCUUCGGCAGCGUGACGGCGUUCCGGAGGUUGGUGAUGACCUUGUCUCAGCAGGGCUCCGCUCGAGCUCCGCAGAAACGCGAUCUAGAGGAAAAACCGUGGAGGUAUGUGGUCGGGCUGCCGUGGAAAAGUCGUCUCAAAUCAGCCCUAAAACCUCCGUAUAUAUAGGUGGGAGGGAGGGGGCCUUGCCUUGGGUCUCAAGGAGCCCCAAGGGGGUCGGCCGAGUCCAAGGGGGAGGACUCUCCCCCCCAAACCGAGUUGGACUAGGUUUGGNNNNNNNNNNNNNNNNNNNNNNNNNNNNNNNNNNNNNNNNNNNNNNNNNNNNNNNGGAGGGAAGCCCCCUUCCUUCCCCCCUCCUCCUUUUUUUUCUCUUGAUUUUUUUCUUCUUGGCGCAUAGAGUCCUUUUGGGCUGUCCCACCAGCCCACUAAGGGCUGGUGUGCCACCCUCAAGGCCUAUGGGCUUCCCCGGGGUGGGUUGCCCCCCCGGUGAACUCCCGGAACCCAUUCGUCAUUCCCGGUACAUUCCCGGUAACUCCGAAAACCUUCCGGUAAUCAAAUGAGGUCAUCCUAUAUAUCAAUCUUCGUUUCCGGACCAUUCCGGAAACCCUCGUGACGUCCGUGAUCUCAUCCGGGACUCCGAACAACAUUCGGUAACCAACCAUAUAACUCAAAUACGCAUAAAACAACGUCGAACCUUAAGUGUGCAGACCCUGCGGGUUCGAGAACUAUGUAGACAUGACCCGAGAGACUCCUCGGUCAAUAUCCAAUAGCGGGACCUGGAUGCCCAUAUUGGAUCCUACAUAUUCUACGAAGAUCUUAUCGUUUGAACCUCAGUGCCAAGGAUUCGUAUAAUCCCGUAUGUCAUUCCCUUUGUCCUUCGGUAUGUUACUUGCUCGAGAUUCGAUCGUCAGUAUCCGCAUACCUAUUUCAAUCUCGUUUACCGGCAAGUCUCUUUACUCGUUCCGUAAUACAAGAUCCCGCAACUUACACUAAGUUACAUUGCUUGCAAGGCUUGUGUGUGAUGUUGUAUUACCGAGUGGGCCCCGAGAUACCUCUCCGUCACACGGAGUGACAAAUCCCAGUCUUGAUCCAUACUAACUCAACUAACACCUUCGAAGAUACCUGUAGAGCAUCUUUAUAGUCACCCAGUUACGUUGCGAUGUUUGAUACACACAAAGCAUUCCUCCGGUGUCAGUGAGUUAUAUGCUCAUGGUCAUAGGAACAAAUACUUGACACGCAGAAAACAGUAGCAACAAAAUGACACGAUCAACAUGCUACGUCUAUUAGUUUGGGUCUAGUCCAUCACAUGAUUCUCCUAAUGAUGUGAUCCCGUUAUCAAGUAACAACACUUGCUUAUGGCCAGGAAACCUUGGCCAUCUUUGAUCAACGAGCUAGUCAACUAGAGGCUUACUAGGGACAGUGUUUUGUCUAUGUAUCCACACAAGUAUUGUGUUUCCAAUCAAUACAAUUAUAGCAUGGAUAAUAAACGAUUAUCAUGAACUAAGAAAUAUAAUAAUAACUAAUUUAUUAUUGCCUCUAGGGCAUAUUUCCAACAGUUUCUGGCUUUUUUGAGAUCGUGUUUCAGCCCAGAUAGCUGUUCGAAUCUGCCGCUAGUGGCCCGUCCGCUGCCGCCAUGGUAACAACCGGUGCAGCAGCUAGCUGCGCCAUGGUAGACUCCGGCUGUAUCGCACCUCUCGGCAAGUUAACAGCAUGAAGGUUCUGAAGCACCUGAUUAGCCAUGAUCCCACCAGAAGAGCGAACAGGUUCAGCCUCCAAAGCCGAAUGAAAGCGCCCAUGUUAGUUACCAACCAACUUUGCUUCCGUCAAAGACGUUUCCAGGGAAACUGGUUGCAACUUAUUAGUAGACUGCAGAAUACCAAUGUUGCUCCGAGGAUUUUUCCCCAUAAACCUCGGCUGUCUCGCCCGCGAGUAGGUGUCCAUGCACGCCGACCUAAAUUUUGCCGGCGCAGAUGCAGGCUCGAAAGAACCAAACCGCAAGGCGAGAUCGGAAGCAGAGACCAAUUGUUUUGUACCCGUGCCUGAGUAUUGCCUAGACUGAGUAGAUGGCGAUUGUGCAUUGUUCUGAGAAGAGAACUUAGGCCCUGAAUCAUUUGCAGUAUCCGCAUUAUCCUUGGCACCAUCCGCAUCAUCCCCAUCAGCCAUAUUGGUAUCUUUAUCUAUGUCCGUUGCAUCAAAAAGAGUAGGGCUCUCGAUUUCCAAUUGGAGAGUGUAACACAUCCCUUCAUAUGUCCAAAUAACGUCAUCUGGAAUAAGCUGAAUAUCUAGCACACUCACCAGCAUCCUCGCAAUGCCUUUGGCUCUAGUGAACACCAUAUCCACCUCUUCUGUUUUGCCAAUAAGCGAACCCAAACUCCAUACAACUCUAAAAUCAUUCAUAGCCCUGGAAGGAGCUCCAGCAAAGUGUACCCAAAUCUGAGGUAGAGGGACACCCUUGGGCUCCUCACACUUCAAGGCAUCAAAUUCAAGCACGCAGCUUGUGCUAGCCACUCUGCACAUACCGAACUUAAGCAGACGAGCCAAAUCCUCCUUAGUAGGAAAAACGACCUUAAAGACAUUAUCUAAAAUCAAAACCGGUUCCCACCUGAAGGUCGAUGAUACAAGCUCCUUGAGCUGUUGCACCACCUGCUCCACAAUCAAGCUCCCCCGAGUUACCGUCACCGUACCCGUGAAUCCAGCAUCUGGUGUAUGAAGUGUCGCCGUCACCGCUGGCGACUCAAAGAACAUCAAUUCUUGACUCGAAACACCAUAAAUGGUCACAACCGGCAUAGGUCCAAUCGUGAGAGGGCAUUUAGCGAAACCAUGCGUAGGCUUAAGACAAUACACACAUAGCUCCGCCUUGCAUUCAGACACAAAGUGUCCCGCCUCACUGCAACGGUAACACACCAUCUUCUCUUUCUUGCGAGCCCACUUGGAGGGUCUGUCCCCCCCAUCUCCUUUUGCCACCGUAGGAUUCUGAUCAGCUAGUCCAGGAUGAGCCGCCUCAUUCACUGGCUCUGGCACAGACUCCCUAGCGGCCUCAGCAAUCUCUGUCACCGCCUCUUGAGCAGGCAUAGGAGGCCUCGGCUUUCUACCACCCCCCUCUGCCCGCCCAAUUCUGUCGAAAGGCACCUCUCUUGUGAUACGAAGGACCCGACGUCCCCGGCACAAACUUGCCUGGUGGUGCCGUAAAACCCUGGUUAGCAGUCAUAUUGUUCAUUGGCGCAUGACCUCGCCCACCACCAUAUGAUGAUGAGCCGCGGAAUUGACCGUCCCCAUACAUGUUACCUCCAUCAGUGCCCCAACGUCCUCGUUGCUGAGACCGAUGCUCCGGUGGCUCCCCCACCUGACCGGCUGCCCCGGGCUGUCUCCCCGCCUGCGCAGCAGCAUGAGAGCUUCUCGCGACCUGCGGAACCGGUACUGGUGUUGCUCUGUCCCCUUGUCCCGGCGGUCUAGGCUGCAUUGCCGGCGGCUGUUUGGUAGCCCCCCCUGCCCGCCAUAACCGUAUCUCCAGUCGGAAGGGGCGGCACCCGAGUUGCACGGCCUGUUCCCAAGGGCGGGAAGCCGUGGUUGAGCCGCCGAAGAACCCUAGAGACAGUCGACGUGGUGCAUGGGAUGUCGUCAAGGGGAGAAGGCACCGCGAUUGGAUCUACGCCGCCCAGCGUAAUCCUCUGCACGAUAUUGCCUGUCGAAAGAGCUAGGUCCUGGGCCUUAUACCCACUAAUAGCACUGUCCAACGUGGCCGAGUCUACAACAGGUAUUACCACCUGGGCCCUAUACCCAUCGAUAGCCAGGUCCUUAGAAUCCGACACCGAUCCCGCAUGAACCGACGCCAGCGCAACCGAUCCAGCAUUAUCGAAUUGAGACUCUACCUGGGCCAUACACCCAAGUUCUAAUGAGCCCAUCUCUGGAUUACUAUCAUAAGGCCCGCUUUGUCCAAUCAGGUAGUUCAAACGAGCGUUACGGUUUUCAUGGAUCGUCAGCUCCUCGACGGCCGCCGGCGGCUGCACCGUCCCUGCUCUGCUCUUCUUGUUCUUCCUAUGCAGAACGGUAGUCCAGGACUCCGAGGGGAUGAAAUCUAAAAUCCUCAAUGGUUCCAAAGAUAUCUUGGGCAAUGGACCUUUCCAAGGCUUAAUCAUACCUGACUUCUUCUGUUGAUCGACCCGUCUCUUCAUCAAAGCAGGUUUGACAGAUAUUUUAGGAUCUUCUGGCAGCCAUCGGUCCUGCAAUUCCUGCGGUUCAUGCGGUGAUGGCUGCUCCUCCUCGUCGUCGUCCUCUCCUGCAAGUACCCAGAACCUCCCCCCAACCCUAGGUGGGUUUUGUCUCGGUUUGCAUCUCUCUUCCUCAUCCGAGGACACAUCAAUUGGCUGCAAAUCUUCUUGAUUUAUCGGUAUACCCUGCAAAAUGUGAGAAACACAAAUGACAGAAUAAACGCCGACUAGAAAAUGUGCACCUUCCCUGAUCAGCUCUCCCUCUUGAAGAUGACGACCAGCGAGAAUGUCGUCCUCCUCGUCCCUGAGUGUCAUCCAUCUUGAAUCCGGGUGGAAAACUAUCAUACCUUCCUUCAAACUGUUUUGCCAACCUCUGAAAAUGAAGCCUUCCAUUUGAUGCGGUUGUUGACCUGCACCGUCGGCGAGAUCUGAAGCCGCUGCUCCUUCCCCGCAGAAGAUAGUUCACUCGCAAGGAUCCCCAGAUCGGACGGCGAUGUGGUUCGCCUGAUCUCCCCCUCUUCGAUGGUGGUUCCGGCGUCUCCUGAGUCGCCCGGGUCGCCCCGGUCGCUAGGCACCACCAACACGUCCAUCCGUCCUUUUUCUCAACUACGACCCACUUGUCAACUGGAAUCAGACUAGGCAUUUUUUCUCAACUACGACCCACUUGUCAACUGGAAUCAGACUAGGCAUUUUUUCUCAACUACGACCCACUUGUCAACUGGAAUCAGACUAGGCAUUAGUAAAUGGAUAGAUAUACAAGGAAUAGUCUUGCAGUAAGAUCAGUAGAAGAAGGUGAUCAUAGCAUCAGAUUGUCUUAACUUGGUGCAAAACUCUGAUCAUCAUGCAUGGGCAUAUCUCUUCGAGGACCAAAUCCAUGACACAAGUCAAUGGUGGCUAGCUUUUGGAGUUUUUAUUUGUUUUUGUUAGUCGAUGGUGUAAUAGAUAUUUAUUGUUUAGAUCAGCUAUCCAACUUGUAUCUGUUUCGUUGUAUGACGCUCCAGGGUUAAUCCUAGCUCUUGUGAUGAACAAUUCAAUCAAAAAGUUUCUUGUUUUAUAUUUUGAUUAUCAAGAAUACAUUUAUAUAUCAAUAGUCAAUUUUGAAACAUAAUAAGCAAGACCAUGUUCUUUUGGCCGUCGAAAGAAAGUCUCUUUGGUCCUUUAUUUGCACCAAUCCUUGUGUAACCGCGAUGAAAAAACACUUGAGUUUCUAGACGGAAAUAAUAAAUCAAUUCAAGUUGUACUAGAGUAUUACAGAUGAUGUUUUUUAUGAUCAUGUAGCGACAACACACAACAUGCUAUUUGGAUUGAAAGGGUGGUUCGGAAACUAAUUUUCUCCAAAAGCAAGAGGAGAUGAGAUUACCACUUGUAACUUGUAAGUACUGGACUUUCUAGAAUAUGUCCUUAGCCUUAGAUGUCCUUGAUGUCAUGUAUAGUAGGAGUAUGAAUUUAUUUUUCAGUGAGUGGACAAGUUUUAUGCUCUAAAGCUCUUAUGAUUUUAGUAUUUGAAUUUUGCUCUAUCAGACAACACGUGCAUUGCUAGUACACGAUUACUAGUGUACGGAAGAGUGUGUAUUCUCUGAUUUAGUUUCCGUGGGUGAGCAAAUCCGGUGUGCCCCCAGGUGGCGGCCGGCGAGUGGCCACGCCGGGGACGCCGGAUGCCGACCCAUAUCCGGAGGCAUCACGGCGGCCAAUGGGGUGGCGCGGACGUGUCGCGCCCCGCAUCCACCAGUUGCGCCCGGCGCACCUCAGCCGCCGUAUAAAGAUCCACCUCGCGCACCGGACAUCUCCACCCAAACACACACACACACACACCAUCCUCCAGUUGAUCUCACUGAGCUCGCAGGCAGCCCCAGCCACCAGCGAAAUGGCCGCGUCGGCGCUGCACCAGACGACCAGCUUCCUCGGCACCGCCCCGCGGCGCGAUGACCUCGUCCGCAGCGUCGGCGACUUCGGCGGCCGCAUCACCAUGCGCCGGACCGUCAAGAGCGCGCCCCAGAGCAUCUGGUACGUGCUACUAGUAGGAGUAUUCCCCAUGCAUGCUUCUCUUCUCCCUGACUCUGCCCCCGAGCAUACGUCGUGUCAUUCGACUAAUGCACACCUUGCUCAUGGAUGGAUGGAUGAAUGUGUAGGUACGGCCCUGACCGUCCCAAGUACCUGGGCCCGUUCUCCGAGCAGACCCCGUCGUACCUGACCGGCGAGUUCCCCGGCGACUACGGGUGGGACACCGCGGGAUUGUCGGCUGACCCAGAGACCUUCGCCAAGAACAGGGAGCUGGAGGUGAUCCACUCGCGGUGGGCGAUGCUCGGAGCCCUCGGGUGCGUGUUCCCCGAGAUCCUGUCCAAGAACGGCAUCAAGUUCGGCGAGGCUGUCUGGUUCAAGGCCGGCGCGCAGAUCUUCUCCGAGGGCGGCCUCGACUACCUGGGCAACCCCAACCUGGUGCACGCGCAGAGCAUCCUCGCCAUCUGGGCAUGCCAGGUGGUGCUCAUGGGCUUCAUCGAGGGCUACCGUGUUGGUGGCGGACCCCUCGGUGAGGGCCUCGACAUCAUCUACCCGGGUGGCGCCUUCGACCCACUUGGCCUCGCCGACGACCCCGACACAGCCGCCGAGCUCAAGGUCAAGGAGCUCAAGAACGGCCGCCUCGCCAUGUUCUCCAUGUUCGGCUUCUUCGUGCAGGCCAUCGUCACCGGAAAGGGACCGGUUGAGAACCUCUUCGACCACAUCGCCGACCCAGUGAACAACAACGCGUGGGCCUUCGCCACCAACUUCGCCCCCGGAAGUUAAAUGUGUUUAGCAGCCAUCCGUCUGUCCAUCGGACGAGAUAUGCAUGUGUACUUGUACGUCGUGGAUCAACGUGUAGCUGCACGUACUUUGUGUGUUUAUUUGUAUCAUCAUCAUCAUCGAGCGAGCGAGAUGCCCUCUCCCUAGCUGUGCGCAAUGUAAAUUAAUUGAGCACAAGGUGUGCACGAGCGAAUGGAUGGAAGGAUUGUGUGUCAAUACUCCACAUCAACCAGUGUCACGGCGUAUAUGGUAUAUACCCCAUGAAAGGAAGAAAAAUGAGGGCAAGUGUUGAGUAAAUAGGCAAUUUUCCGAGUAGAUUAAUCCAUGAAAUAAUUACUAACAUGGCAUUGACUAGGUUCAUAACAUGUUGAUCACGGAGUAUGCUAGCAAGUACUACACAUAUAGCAGAAACAUCUACGCAUACAGGCAGUACUACUAGUGCAGACAGAAACAAGAGAGAGAUAAACAUAUCAUACCCUCCGAUCGGCCAAUUGGCCGUAGCAGCAGCGGUGGCGGCGGCAGCAUCCUCUGCCGCCUUCUUCUCGGCUUCGGCCUUCUCGCGGACGAGACGGUCAGCUUCGCUUGGUGAAGACAUGGCGAUGACGAGGACGACGCGGACGUAGACGAGCCCACUCUGCCGCCUUCUUCUCGGCUUCGGCCUUCUCGCGGACGAGACGGUCAGCUUCGCUUGGUGAAGACAUGGCGAUGGCGAUGACGAGGGCGACGCGGACGUAGACGAGCCCACGAUCCGACGUCUCGGAUCGUGUCGUGUCCGUUACGUAUUCUCCGUUCCUGACCGGCAAAAAUAACCGCGUAGGUAUGAGCUCGACUCGGCUCAUUCCCGCGGCGCGUCGUGGCGAGGCGAGGCGAGGCGUGGCGUGGCGAGGCGGGCGACGGAGGAGGAGUGCGCGAGGGCACCUUCUCUUCUCACUCUCCAAUAGCAUGUGGAAGAGAAACCCUUAUAAAGGGGUCCAACUUCUCCUCCACUAGCGGGGUGGGACUAAACUUCCCACCACCUUGUCAUGCCACCACCUACAUGGGCCCUUGGAGAUUUUUCUGAAAUUCUCUAAUGGGCCUAAAGCCCAUUGCCAAUUUCAACAAUCCCCCACCAGAUCUCAAGGGCACAUCGUGUUCUCUCGUUCCAAUCACUGUUUUAAUAUACCAGCAUUUCAGUGAUGACUUGUUAAGGUUGAGCUUCACCUAGAGCAAGUAGCUACACCCCUUUACAACUGAACAAUGGACUAUGCCUUGAAUUGUCAGUUUGGCGUAAAGGAGCUUCACCACAAGUCUUACUAGUACUAGGCCGCCGAAGGUGACCCCUCAGGUGGAGCAUAUUAGUCACAAUCCUGGCCUAUUCAUGAGUUUACUAGAGAUCACCCAAAUCUCAUAGACUGUGACCAGCAGUCAAGCUCAUAUAGGUGUGUUCCUCCAAAGAUCGCUCUGUAGGAUAGCAUCUUGCUUACAUAUAAGCUUUAGACCACAUUAAGACAGUAGUCAUCCUACCAUACAGUAUCCGAGAGUAUUGCAUCUCCAACGGAGUGGGUUAGUAAAGUUACUCUCCUCAGUUCACCACUGGCUUGUUUUCCCAGGUCUUACUUCACGGGAUCUCCGAUCAUAUAGGUUGGGUUACUGCCAUGGCAACUCAUGUGGGUCUCAUACCCAUCUCCCUCGAUGCACCGUCUAUCACAACACGUGAUAGCCCUUUAGUAAAGGGAUCUGCCAGAUUCUUAGCCGUUUGGAUGUAAUCCAACGCUAUCACUCCGGAGUUUCUCAAACGUCUGACAGACUUCAAUCUCAUUCUUAUAUGUUUGUUGGACUUCAUAUUGUCCUUUGAACUCUUCACUUUAACAAUAACUGUUUGAUUAUCGCAGUUCAUAAGGAUAGCCGGAACCGGCUUCUCAACCACAGGUAAGUCCAUCAAAAGAUCUCGAAGAAAUUCUGCUUCGACACCAGAUGUGUCUAAUGCUGUUAAUUCUGCUUCCAUUGUCGAUCUCGUUAAGAUCGUUUGCUUGCAAGACUUCUAGGAAACAACACCACCCCCAAGAGUAAACAUAUACCCAGUAGUGGCCUUCAUCUCAUCAGCAUCAGAGAUCCAAUUCGCAUCACUAUACCCUUCAAGUACCGAUGGGAAUCCCGUAUAGUGAAGCCCGUGGUUGACAGUACCUUUCAAGUAGCGCAUAAUUCUUUCAACAGCACGCCAAUGAACAUCGCCCGGAUUUGCAACAAACCGGCUAAGUUUGCUCACAGCAAACGCGAUGUUAGGCCUCGUUGCGCUAGCUAGGUACAUAAGCGAACCGAUAAUUUGAGAGAAUCUCAAUUGAUCUAUAGCUGUGCCUUUAAACUUUCGAAUAAGCACACUAGGAUCAUAUGGUGUUUGAGAAAUUUUGCAGUCUGAAUAUCCAAGCGACUCAAAAUCUUCUCAACAUAGUGGGAUCGCAGAAGUGUAAUCCCACCCUCAUCAUCUCUCAAUAGCUUGAUGUUCAAGAUAACAUCAGCCACCCCAAGGUCCUUCAUCUCAAUGUUUUGAGACAGAAAAGACUUAACCUCCUCAAUUACUUUGAGGUUGGUUCCAAAUAUAAGUAUGUCAUCAACAUACAAGCACAAUAUAACUCCUUCGCCCCCACCAUGGCGAUAGUAUACACAUUUGUCAGCUUCAUUAACAACGAAGCCAACAGAUGUCAGAGUUGUAUUAAACUUCUCAUGCCAUUGGUUAGGUGCUUGUCUCAGACCAUAUAAAGAUUUCAACAACUUACACACCUUUCCUUCCUGACCUUCUAUCACAAAGCCAUCUGGCUGUUGCAUAUAGAUUUCCUCAUUUAGCUCUCCAUUCAGGAAAACUGUCUUAACGUCCAUUUGAUGAACGAGAAGACCAUGAGAGGCCGCCAAUGAGAGUAGUACUCGAAUGGUGGUUAGUCUAGCCACAGGUGAAUAAGUAUCGAAGAAAUCUUCUUCUUCUUUCUGGGCAUAGCCCUUGGCAACAAGCCUAGCCUUGUACUUUUCAAUCGUACCAUCGGGCCUAAGCUUCUUUUUGAACACCCACUUGCAUCCCAAUGGUUUGCAACCAUAGGGACGAUCAGUGAUUUCCCAUGUCCCAUUAGCCAUGAUGGAAUCCAUCUCGCUACAGACUGCAGCUUUCCAGUAAUCAGCAUCUGGAGAAGCAUACGCUUCUGAAAUAGAAGUGGGAUUAUCAUCCACGAGGUAUACGAAGAAAUCAUCACCAAAGGUCUUUGCAGUACUUUGUCUCUUGCCCCUACCACAGGCUUCCUCGUCAUCCUCCUCAGGAUUGUCAUCAUGUGUUUGUUCAUAGUAUUCCAUAGGAAUGGCAGGCUCAGGAGUUAUCUCAGAUUCCUGUCUAGAAGUGCUUUGCAUAUCUCUCAUGGGAAAUAUAUCCUCAAAGAAUGUAGCAUCCCUCGACUCCAUUAUUGUACCGACCUUCAUGUCAGGUACCUCAGAUUUCACUACUAGAAAUCUAUAGCCUACGCUAUUCUUAGCGUAUCCCAAAUUAACGCAGUCCACAGUCUUUGGUCCAAGCUUACGCUUCUUGGGGAUCGGUACAUUGACUUUCGCCAAG
rnacentral:lncRNA from 1 species